rnacentral:lncRNA from 1 species
ACACACACAAAAAGAAGGAAAAUUAGUAUAUAUCAUACCUCUGUAUCCUUCCAAACUUGUUUAAGUUUACUGUUGCGCAUGUCGAGAACAACUAGUUCAUUGAUAUCAAAAUCCACCGGAAAAGAUUGCAUCCAAAACCCAUGCCAACGUAACCAUCUUAAUCUUUUGGGAAAGUCUUUGAAGUCUCCUUUAAGUCUUACAUAAUCCAGUUGAAGCAGUUUAAGUCUCUUUAUCUUUGCAAAUGCUUGAGUUUCCAUAUCAACAUCAUUUGCCAUGAGAAACUGACUUUUGGAAUGCUUUGGAAAAUGUAGAGUUGCAUUUGUCCUUUUAGCCUUGUCUUCUAGCAAUCCUUUUAGGUCAAGUGUGAGGCACUUAACUGUUCUGGAACCCUGCAUCAGAAAAACUUUUUUAAAAAAUAAAAAGAAAUUUGAUAAUAAAAAAAAAGGUAGUGAAGACGAUGGGAUAAGGCUAAUGUUGAUAUGGGAUGUGAAAAGGCAGGUAAGAGCAGUAGACUAUGAAAAGUCAUAAUAUAUAUUAUAAACAUUUCUUACGUUACAUUUCAACCACCUCUUUAAUUCCACCAGAAUCCGGUACUACUCGCUCUUGAGUGCUAACACUCUCCUCGUUACUGCCCUCCAACUUUUUCCUCCACAAUAUUUUAAGAAAAACUCAAUUCAAAUAAUAUUUUUAUAUUUAAAGUUUAUGAUUAUUUCUCUUAAUAAUGUUGUCUUUAAAAUUCAGAUAUCUAUUUCUCUUGAAAAUACAAUACCUUAAUUAUUCAAAUAAUAGUCUUAACAGAAAGAUUAAGCACCAAAUAUUCUAUAAAUACUAACAAGCUAAUGGUCUAAAGUCUAGAUUGAGUAGCACUAUUAUCCAAAUUCCAAAACAUAGUGCAACAAAUCAAUUCUUUCCCGGCGACCAAAUGACGUUUAUUAUAUAUAUAGAACUCUACAACCUAGUGCUACUAAUUAUCAAUUUUAUUGUUGUGACUCCAUAACUAAAAUUUAGUUGAUCCCUUGACUCAAGAGUGUAAUUAUUCGAAUAGGGAUUAUAUCUCUUUUACAGUGGUACACUAAUUCGUCUUAUUAUAUGGGUUCACUACACCAAAAUAGGCUUUUAGCGGCGCUUUUUUAGGCCUUUAGCGGCGCUUUUUAGCGCCGCAAAUACUUUUAGCGGCGCUUUGAUAAGCGCCGCAAAAGAUGCCGCUAAAGGUGUUGGUCUAUAGCGGCGCUUCUAUCACAAACGCCGUUGAAGACUAAGAGCUUUAGCAGCGUUUUUAAUAUAACCGCCGCUAUAGAUUGGUGUAUUUAGCGGCGUUUUUGUUGAAAGCGCCGCUAUAGAUUAGGGUCUUUAGCGGCGUUUUUUAUAUAAGAGCCGCUAUAGAUCAUGGCCUUUAGCGGCGCUUUUCCCCAAAACGCCGCAAUAGACCCUGAUCUAUAGCGGCGCUUAUCCAGAAAACGCCGCAAUAGACCCUAAUCUAUAGCGGCGCUUAUCCAAAAAAUGCCGCUAAAUACCCUUUGUCUAUAUAGCGGCACUUCGCGCAAAAACGCCGCUAAAGACCCUAAUCUAUAGCGGCGCUUUUACCAAAAACGCCGCUAAAUUUGGCAGAUUUGUAAAUUUUUUUUAUAUUUUCUGCCCUCCUGUAAAAAACAAAUCAAAAGAAAUCAUAUCUAAACCAGCCAAAAGUAACAAAUCUAUGGAUUAAAAAAAAUAAUAUAAUAAAUAUCAAUAAAUAUAAACAAAUUCGUAUUAUUCUUACAAAAAUGUUAAAAGUUAAAAUGAUAAUUGAAAGUCAAAAUUGAAGUAUAUUUACACGAUAGUCUAAGACGACGGCUGUUGCGACUGCUGAAACAUCUUCAUCAUACUCUGGAGCUGCUGCUGGAGUUCAUCGAACUUUUGACGCUGCUCUGCUUCCCUCGCUGCAGCCUCUGCUUCCCUCGCUUUAGCCUCUGCUUCCCUUGCUGUAGCUUGUUCUUCUCUCGCUGCCGCCUCUGCUUCUCUUGCUGCCGCAUCUGCUCUAAGCUGCUGCUGGAGUUCUUCAUACUUUCGUUGAACCUCAGCUUCUCUCGCUGCUGCAUCUGCUUUAAGUUGUAGCUGGAGUUCUUCAUAUCUUUUUUGAACAUCAGCUUCUCUCGAUGUUGCCUCCGCUUUAAGUUGUGUAAUUUGCUCAGUUGUUGUCGCUUGCAUCAGAGCAAUCUGGUCUCUUAACCUCUGAACUUCAGCUUCAGCUCGACUCCCCGAAGGCAUAUACUGUUGCGAGCUAGAUCCAAAAUAUUGGGACGGGUUAACAAAAGAUCCUUGGAAUCGAACCCGACCAUACCUUUCAGGACCCAAAACUUCAGUGAUAAUCCAGUUAUCAAUGUCGUCAAUAUGAACAGAACUAUCACUGGAUGCAAUCGCGUCGUACUCUGCCUUUUUAUUCUUUAAUUUUUCCUAAAAAAUAAAUCACACAUAGAUAGGAACGCAAUAUAUAUUAAAAAUAAGAAUGCAACAUAACUUAACAAUAUUUGCAUUAUAAUAAAUGAAAUAAAUCAUUAGAAAGUAAACACUAUAUAAAUAAUUAAAACAAGUGAAAUUGUAUUAAGCAAACGUACCAUAAUUUCUGCAGCUUCAGGAGUCAUAGGGUUUCCAUCUUUCUUCCUAUGUGUAAUGUCAAAAAGUUGAAGUCGUCCAACUUUUUGACCGGACGACAGUUCCUACAAUACAAUAGUAAAAAUAUUAAUUAAUAGAAAGUAAUAAAUAUCUGCCAAUAUUAAAAGCAUUUCAAAAUACCUCUGCAUGAGCUACACACGCAAAACUUUUUGACCCAGCUGUGUGAGUGAAUUUUUAUUGCUGCCUACUCUGUUUUCCAACUUGUUCACGAUCCUACAUUAUGAAAUUAUUAGUACGUUAAUUAGGAAAUACUAUACACCAAAAUAAUUACAAAAUUUUAUAAGUUACACAUACCUCUCCUUUCUUCGAAGUCCAAAAUCUAACGACCUCUUCCCAGUGGCACCUCAGCAUUCCCGGCGGGACAUUUUGUAAUCUCUCGUCGAGUGUUGUUUUUGUUUUAAAAUAUUCUUUCUUUAAAGUGCUCUUAUGGUCUCUCCAUCUUUUUCCCAAUGCCUUCUUUACAUAAGCAUCGGAGACUUCUAGAGCAAAUCUCGCCUACAAAAAAGACAACUUAAGAAAGUAAAUGUAAACGAAACUUAAACCCAAGUAUUAUAAAUGACAUACACGUUUUGUUACCUUAAUGUUAUCGAGACCUUGGUUCUUGUUACUCUCGGGCACUUUAUGCCAUGACUCGAAGUUAAUUGGCAACAUAUUUGCAUUCCGUGCUAGAAUGCCCAUGUAUCCUGCUAAAAGGCGGGCUUCUGAUCCAACAGGCUGACCAAAGCUAUUACUGGAUACUUGGACACGCUCGACUGGAUCUAGGUCAUAUAAAUUGCUCAGUACUGUACGUCCGCGAACUCUCCGCGUCUCACCAGUUUCAUCUGAAAAAUAAAAGUAUUGUAAUAUACGAAAUUUAAAAAAAAAUAAACAAGAAGUCAGCACACAUGAAAAUUAAAUGUUAAAUUACUUUGAACUUCUAUAUGUUCCUCAGGUGUAACCGGAACAUUCGAAGAUCCAAUUGCAGUCUGUUGUUCAGUGCUGUUUGUUUCCGCCGAGUUUGGAGUACCUUGAACAAUGCGGUGCGAUCGCACUUUUCUUCUAGGCAUUUUAUCUGCAAUACAAAUAAAUUAGUUGAAAACUUAGUAUACAAUUACAACAAUAACAUCAUUCGUAAAUAUAAUUAGAUAAUUGUAAAAGCUGACUACAUUAUAAUUCGUAAAUAUCUUCAUCCGUAUCCUGGCGGACCCAUUGAAAUUGUGUACUAGUACUAGGGAUGUUUUCGUUUAAGUUCUGUUCUGAAAAUGGUAAAGUUUGUGUUCUGUUGUCAAUGUCAUCUCUACUUCCACUGCCCAUGUCAAACAAGUCUCUAGGGAUGUUACGGAGUACAACGUACCAACCCUCAUCAGUUGGAUCUUUUGAGUAAAAAACUUGUUUGACUUGAGAAGGAAAUACAUACGGCUCAUCAAUCAAUUGUUGUCCUGUGUGAAUCAAUCGAGCGAAGUUUACCAUUGUGAAACUAAAUUGAUCUUGCUUGAUUCCACGUGCAGUAUUAACAUCGGCCCAAUCACCUCGAAAUAAGACAACUUUCCAUUUGCCGUAGUAAUCCAACUCAAUUAUGUCAGUAAGAAGUCCAAAAUAUUCCACAUUUCCCUCCACAGGAUUAUUGUCCCUAGCACUAGCAUAACUUGUAAUUGAGGAAUUAACAACUAUUCCAUAAUUUUGCGUUCUCCUCAAUCUCUCGCGAUAUUUUGUAUGAAAUCUGAAUCCAUUUAUGAGGAAUGCACUAUAUCUUUUAACCACCCGAUUUGGACCUUGGGAAAGCCAUUUAACUUCGUCGGUGACGUUCUUCCCACUCCAAACCUAUUGAAUGGAAAGUAAACUGAGUAAUUAAAAAUGUUUUGAACAAAUAUUAUUAUUUGUCGGUGAAAGCUCCAAUUACAUACUGUUUGACUUAACCAUUCAUGAAAAGAUUCUGUAAACAACUUAUUGAUAUCUCGAUGUUGUGUUCUUCGGGAGCGCGAACGAGAUCUCAAUAUUUGUUUGUACUCACUAUGUUACAAAUAUGUUAAGUUUGUUAGACUAUAAACAAUUUUGAAAUGAUAAAUAUUUAUCAAAUUUCUAGAACUUACUUGCGUAAAGGUUCCAUUGAUUCGUGGUGAAACAGAACAUAUCGAUGUGCUUGUACCCACGAUAAAUCAUCUAGUUCUGCAAUUUCAACUUUACCGAUUAGUUCUCCAAAACUUUGGAACAAAUAACUGUCGGUAAAGUUACGAUCCGUGAGUCCAGCAUAUCUAUUUGGUCUGUUCAACCUUGUUUCAACAUCUUCCAAAUAUCUUGAACAGAAGGUCAUACAUUCCUCUGCCAAGUAGCCUUCAGCAAUCGAUCCUUCUGGAUAACGCUUGUUGCGGCAAUAAGACUUUAAUUUUGAUAGGAACCUAAACACAAUAUACAACAUUGUCAAAAGUUGUAACUAAAGGCACAUGGGUGAAUGAAGGAAAAUUUACAAAAUUGUAAUUAACACCUUUCUAUGGGAUACAUCCAUCGAUAGAAAACGGGUCCGCCAAGAAUUGCUUCAUGCGGGAGAUGGAUUAUCAAGUGAACCAUAAUAGUGAAGAAGGAAGGUGGGAAGAUUUUCUCCAUGUUGCAUAGAGUUAAAGCGGCUCGAUCCUGUACCUUCUGAAGUUCUUGAACAUCCAAAACUUUGCCACAAAUGGCUUUCAUUAUAUUGGAUAGUUCAAUUAUACAAGACGUCACCUUCUUCGAAAUACAACAUCGUAGAGCAACUGGCAGUAAAUCUUGCAUCAAGAUGUGAUAGUCAUGUGACUUUAGCGAAUAUAGUCUUCGAUCUUUAACACUAACACAUCGAGAUAUAUUUGAUGCAUACGCAUCUGAAACCUUUAUAUCCUUCAACACCAUGCAGAACACUUCUUUCUCUGUCUUCGACAUUGAGAAAAUUGAAGGCGGAAACCGAUAUUUACCAUUCGGAAGUGGAUUCGAAUGAAGAUCAAGUCGAAUUCCCAUCUGAACUAAAUCAAGUCGACUCUGAAGAUUGUCUUUUGAUUUUCCGUCUACAUUCAAAAUUGUACAGACAAUGUUCUCGCAGACAUUUAUCUCAAUAUGCAUAACAUCAAGAUUGUGUCGUAAAAGGUGGUGCUCCCAAUAAGGUAACUAAAAAAAAUACUUCUUUUUUUCCACAAGUCCGCCUCAUUAGGAUCAUCCUCUUCAUCAGAGUUAUCAUCAGCUUCAUCAUUUGAUUUUCUAUUCCUUUGCGUGUUUGCCGGUUGAUUCAUCUUCCCAUAACUGAAAUUCAUAUCUUCCAAUAUUAACAAGAUUUCAGAUCCACUUGUCUGCGAAGGAGCUUCUCUAAACUCUUUAGUACCGUCAAAUGCCGAACUCUGAAAUCUAAAUCUAUGAUUUUCCGGUAACCACCGACGAUGCCCCAUGUAAGAGAACUUCUUCACAUUGUAUAACCAUUGCGAACAUGUUUGUGCAGCACAACAGGGGCACGCAUAACGACCCUUGGUACUCCAACCGGAUAAAUUGGCAUAAGUGGGGAAGUCAUUAAUGGUCCACAUCAAAGCUGCACGUAAAUUAAAGUUCUCCUUUCUGAGCACAUCAUAUGUCUCGACACCAGCCCAUAAUUGUUUUAACUCUUCAAUAAGUGGCUGUAAAUAAAUGUCGAUAUCAUUCCCGGGCCCUUUCUCUCCAGGGAUAAUCAUAGAUAAGAUAAGGGAAGAUUGCUUCAUGCAAAUCCACGGAGGCAGAUUGUAAGGAACAAGCACCACUGGCCAUGUACUGUAUGCAGUACUCAUGAUCUUGUAAGGAUUAAAUCCAUCAGAUGCUAGGCCAAGCCUGACACUCCUCGGAUCGCUUGAAAAGCUUGGAAAUUUAUUGUCAAAUGAUUUCCAAGCUAAAGAAUCUGCUGGAUGCCUUAAUAGUCCAUCAUCGGUUCGUCCUUCAUGGUGCCACGUCAUUGACUCCGCUAUCUUCGACGACAUGAAAAGCCUUUGAAGCCUUGGUAUCAGUGGAAAAUACCGCAAAAUCUUGACCGGCUUCUUUCUUGGCUGUGCAUCAUUUUCAUCGUCGUUCCCAUCUUCUGUGUUUCUAUUCAUCCAAUGGGAUUCGCCGCAUACAUGACAGCACUGUUGGUUUCUCCGAUCGCCCCAGUACAACAUGCAAUCAUUCGGGCAACUAUGGAUUUUGUUGUACCCAAGACCUAAGUCUUUUAUUAUUUUCUUCAUAUCUUUGCAUGACUGAGGGAUUUUUGCAAACGGAAACAUUUCUCUCAAAAACUCUAACAGCAUUGUCAAUGAGUUCCCGGUCCACCCUCCCAAACAUUUUAACUGGAAAAGACGAAUGCAGAACGACAUUUUUGAAAAUUUUGAUCCCUCAUAUAGUUCUUCGUUCAUCUCAUUAAGUAGCGCGUAGAACUUUGCCGCUUCUCCAUUCGGCUCUUCAUGAUGUUGGUUUCUUCCGGGUUCAGUAAAAGCAUUUCCACCGAGAUUACAAUCAUCAGAUGGCACAAAGUCGGGUGGGAACGACUGUAAACCAUGACUGUGAAUAUUAAAUGCUUCCCGCAACAUCCCUUCCAUGUCAUCCCCUCUAACAGACUGAUGGUAGGCAGUACUAUCAUAAGAUACAUCCAUCCUUGAAGAGGAAGUACUAGGCGGGCAUUCUCCAUGAAAAAACCAUUGUUUAUAACCACGAACAAACCCAUCAACAAUUAGAUGCUCGUAUACAACUUCACGAUAAUGCCAGUUUAUGUUGACACACUUCUUACACGGGCAAAGAAUCAUGUUCUCUUGGCUUGCAUAUUGAAAUGCAAAAUUUAGAAAAGUUUGUACUCCAUUUCGAUAACCGUCGCUUACCCUUGACAAAUUCAUCCAAGACCGGUCCAUUUUUUAUUUCUUGAAGCCUAAUCUUGACAAUAAAUUGCACGGGUUUAGGAUUUAGGAAUAAGUAUAGUUAAGCUAUGUAAGUUAUGUAUUAUGUAAGUUAGUUAUUACCCAAAUUAUGUAAGUUGUGUAUUAUGAAAAUUAUGCUAUGUAAGUUAUGUAAGUCACAUAAGUUAUGUAAGAAGUUAUUUAUGUAAGUUAUUUAUUAUGAAAAUUAAGUAAGUUAUGUAAUUUACGAAUAAUUAAAAAUAUGUAAGUUAUGUAAGUUGUAAGUUAUGUAUAAUAUUAAUUAACUAAGUUAUGUCAUUUAUGUAUCAUAUUAAUGUAAGUUAUGUAAUUUAUGUAUAUUAACUAAUUAAUUUAUGUAAGUUAUGUAUAAUAUUAAUGUAAGUUAUGUAUAAUAUUAAUUAAUUUAGUUAUGUCAUCUAUGUAUAAUAUUAAUGUAAGUUAUGUAUAAUAUUAAUUAAUUAAGUUAUGUCCCUUACAAUAAGAGACAAAUAUUGAUUUUAUAAUAUAAACAUUGGAUAAACAAUUUUGUUUAAAAAAAAGAUUGGAUAAACAGUAUUUUAUAAUAUAAUAUUAAUUUUAGAUACAAAUAUAAUAUUAAUUUUAGUUACAAAUAUUAUACAAAUAGUAUUUUAUAAGGUAAAUAAGCAUUUUGCAUGCAACUUGACUAAGAAAUUAGUAGCAAAUAGGGAAUUGAGUUUGUAUAAAAAACGUGGACCGUCUCUCUAUUAGGUAGCUGUCAAUGGCAUUUUAACUCCAACCAUCUCACAUUCUUACCGAAUUGAAUGUGUGUUUUAAAUUCUCAACCCAUCAAAAUAAAAAAUUAAAGAGAAAUUUUGAAUUGAACUUUAUAUACAAAAUAGAAUACAAUAUAUUACCUCAUUUUCUUUCUACCAUUUAAUCAAAUGAAAGUUAUUGUUAAUCUCUUCUUUUCCUUAUCUUUCCUCAUUUUAGAUAAUCUAAUAAAAGAAUAUAGUUUAAUCCAAACGUAAAAUUAAAAAUUAAACAUUAUUGGGAGGAACAGUAACAAACCUUAAAAUAAUUAAUUUUCAUGGAUAAUCAAAUAGACAUAAAAGCAUAAAUUGAUUUCAAAGAAGACGAAAUGUAAAUAUCCAACAGUAAAAAAUAACUUCAUAAUUAUUAAAUGUCAAUAUAGUCUACUUACAAAGAAAAAUAACUCAAGAUAAUUUAAGAUAUAACAUUAUUUCUUAAAAUUGAUCAUCCUAAUUGAGUUAUACUCUUCAAUUUUUUAUUAAACCGAAGCCAUCAAUAAGAGAAUUGGUUGAAAAUUGUUGAGCUGUAUCCUUAUCAAUUUUUUAUACUGGCUUUGGUAGUUUCGAUUAAGGGUUGUAUUUGCUCUCCCUCCUCCUUUUUACUUGCGAUCUAGUGUGUUUUUUUUACUGAGGUUGCUGGUAGUGGAUUUGGUUAUGAUGAUGUUCGGGUUGACUGGGGUUUUGGGUGUGAGGUUGACGGUAGGUGCAAGCUGAAGUAGUGAUCUGGACUCUUAUUUAGUGAAUAGUGUGAUGGUAGGGCUGGAGUAGAGGUUGGAGCAGUUGGCGCUGGUGAAGAUGGGAGAGGGAGUUGUCCUUGGCAGUGGUGGUUGGCAACUUUGACUUCAUCAACAGGCUCAAGGUCAUAUGGACCAAAUAUUGUAAAAUAUAUUUUCAGAAUUAUAUAAAUCUAACAUUAAUGGUCAAAGCCAAAAAAAUAUAUAUGUAUUUAGCAUAAAAAAUAAAAGGAUCAUACAUUACCCAAAUAGUGAAAAUGGAUCCAAAUUCAAUCAAAGUCCUCUAAUUAAUUUGUCCAAAUCAACAUUGAUUCAGAAUUUAGAAUUUUCUUUUCAUUUGAAAAAUUAAACUCAAUAAUUGGUAGACUUAAAUAAAAUUCGGUGUCUACACUACUCAAUAAUUAUCAGCUAACAAAGUGAUGAAUUCAACUAUAGUAAAUUUGGUUAACAUCAGUUUUGGAUUUCAUUCAUGGACUCAUUAAGUUAAUAAUAAUCAUAAUAAUUAAAGUAAGAAAGUGAUGAACAUUUGCUUUAACUAAUAAAUUUAGCAAAUUAAAUAUACAUACCUCUUAAAGUUCACAAGGAAGUAAAGGCUGCAAGGAAGUAGAGGCUGCAAGUUCCUGGGAUUGCUUCACGAUUGAAUUUCCAGCAGUUUAUCAAUUGAUCAAAAAGUCUACUUUCUGCUGCAGUUGACUAAGAAAACAUUAUACAGGGUCAUCUAUACAGAGAUGAGCCAAGCAACAAUAAGGUAAAUAACAUAUAUAAAGAGAAAGCAGCAGUUUAAAAUAUACAAUAUGCAUAUAAUUUUUUACGACAAAACAUGCAGACAUAAAUUUUAAAUUUCAAAAUAUAUAUAUUCAUACCUAACACUAAUCUCAUUUAACUCGAAUUCAUACCCAACACUCAUCUCAUUUAACUCGAAUAACAUAGAUGGCAAAUACGUCAGUAAGACUAACCAAAACCAAAACAUGUAAAUGGAUAGUGAAAGUGAAUCUAUUGAGCUCUCCCCUAAGCCAAUGUUACAAAAAUGAAUUGCCAUUGGUCCAAACCCAAAAUGCACAAAAAAAUACGGGAAAGGGGAAGUCCAUCGAUACCAGAAAAUAAUGUUGUUCGGCUAUCAGAAAGGGAUUGAGCAAUUGGGAAAUUGGGGAAAAUACUUUGGGGAAGAAUAACUUGGGGGAAAUUGGGGGAAAAGAAGUUGGGAAAUUGGGGAAAUGAAAUCGUGGAAAUUUGACUUGGGGGAACACUAAAGGAAAUUCCCAAAUUCCCAAACCCUUGACACGCAAAAACGCCGAAAUUCCCCGAAUUCCCAAACAAACAGACCAAAGGUUGGUGAUUGAAUUUAUUAUUUAAACCCCAGUUUCCCAAAUUACACUUAACCCAAACCCUAAAUCAAGAUACAGCGAUUUAAAAGACAAAAAACUUACCUUUUUCACCACAAAUUCUGCAACUUUGAUGGCAUCCUGUCAAGAUUGGCUCAACUGUUGCUUCGUUUCACCCGAUUUAUGAGUUCUCCUCUCCCUUUUUUCCUUUGUAUUUUCUCUUUCGAUAUUAUAGCUUUCGUUUUCUCCUCUCUGAUUCUGUUUCUGUUUGUGUUCUGCCUUACAGAAAAUGAUAAGUAAAAACACGCGGAACAGAAACGGCAUCGUUUUCCCAAAAUUUUAAAACACCAUUCUGGCGUUUGUUAGGAAAACGCCACUAUUUCUUGUAUAUUUCCGGCGUUUCCAAAAAAUGCCACUACAAAUUGAAGUUAUAAUCUGAAACGGCGCCGUUUAAUAAAGCUUUAAUGCAUAUUUCAAACUAUUUUUUAACUUAUUAAACUUAAUUCUAUUUAAAAUAAUAUUUAAAUGACAAAAACAUUAAUAUAAUUGAUAUCAAUUGGUACUUUAAUUUGAUUUUUUAAAACAUUAUUUAAAGAAAUUAAUCUAAACUAACCUAAUUAAAAUCCUUAUCCGACCCCUGAAACCCUAAAUCAUAAAUUCUAAACCACUAACCCUUAGCCCGUAACUCGUAAAACUUAAACCCCUAACCCUAUAUCCCAAACCUUAAAUCCAUAUAUACCCCCUAAUCCUUAAAAUAGCACGGCCAUCAGAAAUAAUCCCUAAAUCUUUAAUAAUCAUAUAUAAAAUAGUUAUAAUUGAUUAAACAAUAAUUAAUAGUAAUAAAAACUUUUAAUAAUUUGUAAUAUUACCUUUAUAAUAUUUAUUUUUUUGUAUAAAGUUUGAAAUUUAUAAUAUUUAAUUUUAUUGAUAAAUAAAUAAAUUUAAACUAUAUACUCAUAAUUUCAAUAUAUUAAAUUUAUUAAAUAUUAUAUAUUUUAUAAAUAUAUAUAUAAGAACAUAUUUGAUAAAACUAAAUUAAUCUAAUAACUUAAACUCUAACAUAACCGUUGAAACCCUAAACCCGGCCCAAAUCCAUAACCCCCUAGCCCCUUACCCCUAAAUCCCCUAACCCCUAAAGCAUAACCCUUAAACCCUAAAUCCCCCUAACACCUAAACCUUAAAUUUUUCAAUUCCACAAACAAACGGUGACGUUUUCACAAAAUUGUAGACAUAUUGAUAAUUAUCGAUUAAUCGACAUGCAUAAAGUGAUCAUGAUCUACCUAUUAUAAUAUUCAAUAUAUUAAAUUUAUUCUUGAAUAUCUAUUUUACAAAUAUAUAAGAACGUAUAUAUUGAUCACCAUAAAAAAUAAUAAAAAACAAAUCUAAUUAAUUAAACCCUAACACAUGACCGUUGAAAUUAACCCUAAAUCUCAAACCCCAAAACCUCUAACCCUUAAAUUAACCUUAAAUCCCCAAUUACCUUAAAUCUAUACCCCGUACUCAUUAAAAUACCGUCCAUAAAAAAAUUCCCUAAAUCUUUAAUAUAUAUAUAUAUAAUCAUAAUUAAAUUAAAUAUAGUCAAUAAUUAUUGUUAAAAUAUAUAUAAAUUAGUCGAACAAUAUAUACGUACUACCAAAAUUAAUUUAUUACUCUUAUAAAAAGUUAAUUCUAUUUUUAAUUUACUCUUUACAUUAAUACAACAAUUUAAGUUUUACUAUAUUUUAUUUUAUUCAUAAUUUAAUAUAUUUUCUCUCGUAAAGUAGUUUAAAUCAACUGUUAUAAAUAGUUAGCUGUUACAUAUAUACGACUUCUCUUUAAUAAAAACUUUUUUUAUUAAUCAAUAUUAUUUGUUAAUUAUAAUUUAAAUGUAAAUUGUCCCACUAUAUAUAUAUAAUAAAUAGAACAAAAUAUUAAUUAUUUCAACUUAUAAGAUUUUUGUUACUAUUAGCGGCGCUUCGGCAAAAACGCCGCUAAAGGUUAAUACAUUCGCGGCGCUUAGAUACAAACGCCACUGAAUACAGGAGAAUUAGCGGCGCAUAUAUAAAAACACCGCUAAAAACCCGAGCAUUAGCGGCGCAUAGGCGAAAACGCCGCUAUAGACCCAGAGCAUUAGCGGCGCUUAGACGAAAACGCCGCUAAAGACUCGGAGCAUUACCGGCGCUUAGAUGAAAACGCCGCUAAAGACUCGGAGCAUUAGCGGUGCUUAGACGAAAGCGCCGCUAAAGACUCGGAGCAUUAGCGGCGCUUAGACGAAAACGCCGCUAUAGACCCGAGCAUUAGCGGCGCUUAGACAAAGACGCCGCUAUAGACCCGAGCAUUAGCGGCGCUUAGACAAAAACGCCGCUAUAGACCUGAGCAUUAGCGGCGCUUAGACAAAAACGCCGCUAAAUGUUUAAAAAAUUGCAAAAAACGACGCCGCUCGUCUUAGGUUUUUUGUGGCGCUUUAUAUAAAACGCCGUUAAUUCCUAUUUUUAGCGGCGCUUCCGUAUAAACGCCGCUGAUGCUCUACCUUUAGCGGCGCUUUGGCUAAAUCGCCGCUAAUGCUCUAUUUUUUGUGGCGCUUUUGUUCCAAACGCCGCAAAAAGUGCCUCUAAAAGCCUAUUCUGGUGUAGUGGUUUAUUUAUAAGAGUUCUCUUAAAUAUUUAUGUCAAAUCCAAAUUGUUGUGAAUUGGUAGCCAGGAUGGAAAUCAAUUCUUUUAACAUUUCAAGGAGUUUUGUCCAUAAGUGAAAGUCUUUGGUAAAAGUAUUAGAUAAUAAGUAAUUGAUAAAAAUUUUCAUUCUAAAGGCAACUAGCAAAGAGCUGUUUAAUAUUUUUCAACAUUCAUGAAGGGUUUUUAUUUACUUUUAUUGAACGAAAUAGAUUUUUUUUUCCUAAUAAAUGAACCACGAGAAGAAAAAUGUUUUCCAAGGAAUAUUCUUACCAUAUCUAUUUAAUAUGUAAUUCGCAACUUGUUCUUCAAAUGAAAACCAUAAUAAUUUCCCCAGAAUUUCUAUUUGAAAAUUUGGAAAUCUUUUAAAUCAACCGAAUUUUCUCACUCGAAUACUUUAUCAGCUUUAUAUAAAUUAUUCUUUGCAUCAAUAAAUAUUGUUCAUGACCUUGCACCCAUUUUCAUGCAGAAUUAUUUCUCCCAUGCAGGAAAUGGUCUCCAUGAAUUAUUGCCGUGAUAUCUAUUUUGAUGAUAUGACAUGGUUUCUUUUGAUCCAAAAAAGAUGAUGAAUGACAUGAAAUUGAACUAUGAUUUUAAAGAAGGGUCUUGAGUUUAUAUAAGAUUAUAUAGGCGGUAAUUCAAUUUCCCUUUCCUUGUUGGAAAAGGAAUUCCAUUUUGACUUUAAUUGUAAUUUUUAAGUUGUUGUUUUUUUAUUGUUAAUUAUUUAAAAAAUAAUCGCAUUUUAACUUGCAAACUUAAAUCUUAAACUAUUAUCUUUAUGUUUACUUUUUAAUGAUAAUUAACAAAAAUAUUUGGUUUUAAAAUUUUAAUACAAUCGAAACACAAUUCACACACAUGAAUGAUAAAAUUUGACGUGAUUAAAUAAAUAUUGAAUUUUUUAUAUUUUUAAUAAUAAAUAUAGGUAAAAUGGUAAUAAAUUGGGAUUUUAAUGUCAUUUAAAACGGGUCAACUAAAUUUUAGAUUAGAUAUUCAAUAUUAAUAAUUAAUAUAUAUUAAUUGAAUUAUAAAUGAGUUUAGAAAUUCAAAAUUGUAAAAAUUAAUAUAUAUAUAUAUAUAUUGAAUUAAAUGACUACCAUACAUAAUCUUAUUCAAAUAAUAAUAAUGAAAAAUAAAACUGAGUGUUUAAGACAAUUUCGUUGUAUUUGUUUGUUCUAUGAUCCAACUAUGGUAGGUAAGCGUGAUGUAGGUUCAUCGUACUCCCAUCCAGUGGCUUUAAUUUGCUCUAAUGGAAUCGAAAACGAAUCAAUCCUUUUAACUUCUUCUUUUUCUUCUUCUUCAUCAUCGGAAAUCGACUUUAUUUCCAAAAAAAGUUUUGGGUCGAUUUUGGAGUUCCAAUCAAUAUCAUCGAUAUACAUAUCUGCUGCAUUACUUGGUAACUUAUUUGUGCAAGGAAAAUGAUGAUAAUAUUCCCAGAAUCUCUGUUUGGCUUCCUGGAAAGCUUUUAAACCAGCUGAAUCAUCCCAUUCGAAUACUUUAUCGGUUUUGAACAAAUUAUUCUUUGAUUCAACAAAUCUUUUCCAUGGCAUUGCACCCACUUUUAUGCAGAAUUUUUUCUCCCAUGCAGGUAAUGGUUCCCAUGAAUUACUGUUAUCAUUUUGUUUGGGACGAGUAAAUUUCGAACUGUAGUACCUUUCUCGGCAAUUAUGAUAUCUUCUUUGAUAGUAUGACAUGAUUUCUUGUAAUCCAAACAAAUAAAUGAAUUGAAAUUGCUAAUGACAUGAAUUUACAGUGAGGAGACUUGUUGGGUUUAUAUAAUAUUAUUAGAGUCGCUGGUGACUCAAUCCUUUUCCUUGUUAGAAAAGGAAUUCCAAUUUCAGUUUAAUUAUGAUUUCUAUUUUUAAAAUAUUUGUAUAAUAAAAUUAUUAAAAAAUAACUAUAUCUGUAUUGAUAAUAUUUUCUUAUUAAAUGGGUUUUAUGAGUUAAAUAACAAUCAAACCAAGAUUGGGAGAUUGAACUGCAUCAGGUCUUGGGGGUGAUCCAUCUCUUCAACCACUAUCCACCAUCUACAUCCUUCCCCUAUAUAAACUCUGCAAAAUAUAUACAUAUAUAGAGAGAGAGAGGAACAAACAAAUUAUAACCAUAGCAAAAAAAUCAAAACUAAAAUAUAACCAUUUUUCUUAUAAGGUGAAAAGAAAUAAUGGGCUGAGUACUUGAAAGAACUAACGACCUAAGUUUAUAAAUUAUUAUUUAGUACAAUGAUUCGAAUCCAAUUGCUUUUAAGAAAAAUGAAUACUCGACCAAUAUAUUACAAUAUGAGUUGUUAUUAUGAUUUAAUGUAACAUUCAAUCAAUAAAAUAUAACCAAUUUCUGAACGCUACCUAACAAUAUUUUUUUUGCCAAAGGGAAAGCAGAAAAAUUAUAUAUUUUUUAUAUUUUUAUUUUUUCACCCUUUUAAUUUUCUUUUCAUUCUACCAACUAAAGUUUUAAUGAAAAACAUGGAACUUGACUAUGCAUAUAACGUACCUAUCUUGUAGAACCAUACCUCCUAUAUCCGCAAUUUCUUUUAAAGCAUUAAUUCCUCCAUCUUUGUACCAUGUUGGUUUUGGACUAGAUGUUUUGUUCAUGUUGAGUAAAUGCAUCUGCAUAACUCCCCGUCUGGUUCUUGACUUGACUCAACUCGGAUCCACAUCAUAGAAAAUUGGUAAAACAAUGUGUUUAGAAGAUUUCUUGUGCUCCAAUAUCAUUACAAGUUCGUUAAGACACCAUGUGGAUGCAGCAUAAUUCUUCGAGAAAAAACGAUAGAAAUUUUGGAGUGGUGUAGUAUUGCUUUUUCAAUUUCAUCUUUUAUGUUAUUCCCUCUCUCGAUUUCCUCAUCAUCUCUAAAUGUUUGAAUUCCUAAGUGCACCAAAGCUGUGUAAAGAUGAUCCGUGAAACUUUUGCGCGUAUCUUCACCUCUAAAACUCAAGAAUACAUGAUAAGUACCUCGCGAGAUAUCUGAUACCGCCAUUGAAGAAGAAAAUGAAGUCGUCCUGUAUUGUUAUGUGAAGAAAUCUAGGUAAACUAGAGAAAAUCAAUGAAGAAAUAUGUUUUCAAUCUGAAUUUAGUCUAUUACUUAGUCCAAUACAAAGCUAGACGUGUAUAUUUAUAGGUACAAUUAACUGCCUUCCUUAACAAAUUAGCUAACAACUCAGCUAACUCUAACUGCCUCUCUAACAGUCUUAUUAUCUUUAACACCUAUGUAGGAAUGAAGCAUUAAUAACCGGUUGAUUUCAGAAACAGAAUUGGUGGUUAAAUGGACUAAAUCACCAGUUUUUAUUUGACUUCUUGUUAUUAUUUAAAGAAAAUAAAUCUAAAAAAAUUAAAAUUAAAUAAAAUAAUAAAUAUUGACGUAUAUUGCACAUUAAAGUAAAUUUGAAAAAGAGAAAUGAGAGGGACAUAAGAGGGGGAGAAUAAUUCCCAAGUACUUGGUGUGGAAAAUAGAGGUUCUAGAAAACGUUUCGAUUACUUUCCAUUUUGGAGUCAUGCUUACGGUCUUAGUCUUUAGACCAUUGAGGUUGUUAAUAUUAUCUGAAUAGAGUUUAUUUGAAUAAAUUAUCAAAUUCAGACUUUAAAUAAUGAUUUAUAUCAAAUCAAAGCUGGCCCUAAAUUAGCAAAUUACGAGGGGCUUCAACAUAAUAAAUUCAUGGGCUAACCAAUUUCAGGGCAAUAGAAGUAGUGAAGACGAUGGGAUAAGGCUAAGAUUGACAUGCGAUGUGAAAAAGCAGGUAAGAGCAGUAGACUAUGAAAAGUCAUUAUAUAUUUUUCAACCACCUCUAUAAUUCCACCAGUGUCUGGUACUACUCGCUCGAGUGCUAACACUCUCCUCGUUACGGCCCUCCAACUUUUUCGUCCACAAUAUUUUAAGAAAAACAUAAUUCAAAUAAUAUUUUUUGGUAUCAUUCAUAUUUGUUUUAUAGUUUAUACUCAAGGUUUGUAAUUAUUUUUAAAAUUCGGACCUACAUUUCUCUUAAAAGUACAAUACCUUAAUUAUUCAAAUAAUAAUUUUAACAGAAAGGAUGAGCACCAAAUGGUGGAUAAAUACUAACUAUUAUCUUUAUGUUUACUUUUUGAUGAUAAUUAACAAAAUUAUUUGGUUUUAAAAUUUUAAUACAAUCAAUGAAACACAAUUCACAUACAUGAAUGAUGAAAUUUGAUGUGAUUAAAUAAAUAUUAAAUUUUGUUAUAUUUUUAAUAAUGGAUAUAAGUAAAAUGGUAAUAAACCGGCAUUUUAAUGUCAUUUAAAACGUGUCAAAUAAUUAUUAAAUUAGAUAUUCAAUAUUAAUAAUCAAUAUAUAUUAAUUGAGUUAGACAUUAUAAUUAGUCACGACUGUCGAAAUUCCAAAUUGUAAAAAUUAAUAUAUAUUGAAUUAAAUGUCUACCAUACAUAAUCUUAUUCAAAUAAUAAUAAUGAAAAAAAAAGAGAGUAUUUAAGACAAUUUCGUUGUAUUUGUUUGUUCUAUGAUCCAACUAUGUUAGGUAAGCGUGAUGGAGGCUCAUCAUACUCCCAUCCAGUGGCUUUAAUUUGCUCUAAGGGAAUCGAAAACGAAUCAAUUCUUUUAACUUCUUCUUCUUCCUCUUCAUCAUCAGAAAUCGACUUUAUUUCCAAAAAAAGUUUUGGGUCGAUUUUGGAGUUCCAAUCAAUAUCAUCUAUAUACAUAUCUGCUGCAUUACUUGUCAACUUAUUUGUGCAAGGAAAACGAUGAUAAUAUUCCCAGAAUCUCUGUUUGGCUUCUUGGAAAGCUUUUAAACCAGCUGAGUCAUCCCAUUCGAAUACUUUAUCGGUUUUGAACAAAUUAUUGUUUGAUUCAACAAAUCUUUUCCAUGGCAUUGCACCCACUUUUAUGCAGAAUUUUUUCUCCCAUGCAAGUGUUGACACCAUUUUUUGGAUGAAAAACGGGGUCGACUUGGGUUUUGAAAACGAAAACGGGAGUCGCCACCAAUCUUUUUUGAUGAGGUGUGAUUGAGUCACAUCGUAAAAGUGGUUGUUUUUAAUAAACAAUUUAAUUUUAUUAAAACAACGAGUUUGGUCCACGAAAUUCAGAAGAAUGGGUUCGGGAGUCAGUUACGUACGAGGAAGGAUUAGCACCCUCGUAACACCCAAAAAUUGGUACCUAGUUGAUUAGUUAAUGUCUUAAUAUCAAAAAUUGAAAACUUUGAAGAAAUUUAAAAAUACGAUCCUUAUAUUAAAAUGUUGAAAAUUUUUGGAAAAUGGGGGCAUAUUUCACGUUAAUCGAGGAAGAGAAUCAUAUUCAGUAAGUUAGGACACAAUGUCUCGAAUUCCUGAUGCUCGAAUGAAUGCUGGAAAUUUAAAAGGUAUUUAGCUAUCUCGGAUUUAAAAAAGGGAUCACGACCAGUAAGUUAGGACACUAUCUUUUUUAUUCCCGAGAUCAUUUAAAACUUGAGUUUGAAAAUAUUCACGUAUUUAGAUUUAUUGUGAAAAUCGAAACCCAGUAAGUUAGGGUACAACUUUCUCAAAUCUAAACACGAAAUUUUGCUUAUUUUAAAAAUCAUAAUUAAUGCAUCUAAUAAAAUUAAUCUAACAUGAAAUAGUAGAAAUGAAACUCGAUAUUAAUACACGUGUUUAUAUAUAUGUUACAUAUAGACAAAAGAGAUAUGAAUGUGUAUAUUAUAAAACAAUGUAAGUAUGUAUAUACAUGUGUAUGUAUAGGAAGAAUAUAUAUGUGAAAUAUAUAAAAAAAAUAAAAUAAGAUGAAAAUAUAAAAAAUAUAUUUCAAUAUAUAUAUAUAUAUGAGUAUGAACAUACAUAUUUGUGAGAGAAAAAAAGUAUAUAGAUAUACCUAUAUAUAUAUAAAAGAGUAUUCAUGUAUAUAUUAAAUAAGUUUAAAAUAUAUAUAUAUGUAUACGUAUAUAUAUAUGUAAGUAAUUAUAUAUUUAUAAUAUAAUAUGUCACAUAUAUCCAAAAUUUAUAUAAGUAAAUAUGAGUGGAAAUAUAAUGAUAAUAAUAAUAACAUUAAUGAUAUGAUGAUAGUAGUAAUAAGAUUAAAAUAAUUAAUUUAAUAAUAAAAAAGCUAAGAAAAAACAAAAGCAGUUUCAAAUUGAAAAUAAACUAAAUCUCAGGGGCGAAAUCAAAACUGAAAAACAAAGAAAUGGAUUAAAAUGUGACGCGCGCGAAAAGAAAUAGGACCAAACGGGGAAAUAAACCAAUCCCUGGACACGUGUCCACUUUCCAGCGCGUCAGUGAGCCAGGGACCCGAUUGAAGACGAAAUAAAAUUUUGGGGCCAAAUUAAAAAAUAAAUAACCAAGCAAAAGGGCUAAAUUAGAAAAAAUCAAUAAUGAGGAGGGACUAAGAGCACAAAUAGCCCCUUGAUCAGAAACGCGCGGAUCCCCUAGGCGGGUCGGGUCUACGCGCGGAUCCCCACUAAAACGGCGCCGUUUUGGAAUUUUGAAGGGCUGGGCAAAACGGUGCGUUUUGCCAGCCUAUAUAAAUCAAAAUUUUUUUUAAAAAAAUAAUUUUUAAUCAUUCUAAAAAAAAACUCUCUCUCUCUCUCUCAAAAACCUCUCCCCAGAAACCGACGAAAGGCUCCGGCGCACCUCCGCCGUAGACGGCAGCCGGAGGUGCAAAACGGAACCUUUCUUAGCCCUACUUGAAGCCCGUUCCCCUUAGAACCUGGAUUCAAAGCCGAAUCCUUUAAAAGUCGAGUCAAAAUCGAAAAGAAGAGAAGGAAUCCUUUAAAAGCCGAACCUCGAUGCCUCUUCUUAGGAAUAAACGCGUCCAACACUUUGCCAUGGAACUCAAAGAUUUUCCAUGGUCCCUUCCAAUGAAAACAAGAAGGAAGAUUAGAAACAUAAACUGAAAUCACCAUUUUCUCCAAGGAUUUAGCCUAGUAAUAGUUAACAGUAACUCCACGGAUCUGACUAAAAGCACAAGUUAAGUGAAUUACCAAGAAUAAUGUUCUUCAAUACUAUUCCAAAUUCAAUUUUGGAACUUCUGUUAUCAUAGCUUUCAACUGUUUGAAACUCUGAUGGCAUUAUUCAAUCGCACAUAACUAACAUUUUCUGUAGCAACUUCGUCAUGGUAGAGCUAUCAUCGACAAGCCUGAACAAAUCAUCUAUAGUAUACAAUAAAUCCUAGAAAACUACACACUUCUAUAUUAUUUCCCAGAGAUUCCCUAAUUCACAUUUAUCAGGAGUUCAUUUGAAAUAACUCAAAUAUUUUCUGCUGUUAAUAAAAGGUUUAGAAAACUUAUUUCUUGAAAUUAAAAUUCACAUUUAUUGAUCUUCACAAAUAAUUAUUUCUUUCGUAAUGUCUGUAACACUGUUUCUCCAAAACUAAUUGUGUUCAAUUUUUUUUCUUCACAUGAAUUGAGUAUCUUUAAUUAUCUAACAACAACUCUGAUAUGAUACAGCUAGAAACUUUUGUCUAUUAAAUAUAGAGUAAACUACACCUAUGGUCACUUUUGUUUACUUUAGGUUACAUUUUGGUCACUUAUGUUUAAAAUAUUACGUUUUAGUCACUUGCGUUAUCGUGUUGUAACAUUUUAAUCAUUGAGCCAUUAAUUGCCGUUAACGGUGUAACAGUAAGCUAACGUGGCACGUUAAAUCAUCAUUUUAAACAAAAAUUUUAGGUUAAAUCAUACAACCGAUCCCCAUAUUUUUUUUAUUUUGGGCAAUUUAAUUUUUUUCUUUUAUAUUCUUUAAACUUUACUCUCUCUUUUUCUCUUUAUUUUCCAUUAUCUUCUGUUUCUCCUUCUAUUUUCCUACCUUCUCCAUGUCUUUUAACAUAUUAAGAAGUCGAAUUGACAGUGAAGAAAGAAGUAGAAAGUCGAAAGCCAUCACUGCCUAUAAUCAAAACCCAUAAACCCGUACCAUGACUCUUUUUUUACGACCAAUUCAACUUCCUGAUAUGUUAAAAGAAAUGGAGAAAGAAGGAAAAUAGAGGGGGAAGCAGAAGAAAAUGGAAAAUAAAGAAAAAAAGAAAGUUAAAAGAACAUAAAAGAAAAAAAAUUAAAUUGCUCAAAAUGAAAAAAAAAAUAUGCGGACCAAUUUUAUAAUUUAACCUAAAAUUUUGUUUGAAAUUAUAAUUUAACGUGCCACGUCAGCUUACUGUUACAUUGUUAACAGCAAUUAAUGGCUCAAUGACUAAAAUGUCACAGCAUGAAAACGUAAGUGACUAAAACGUAACAUUUCAAACAUAAGUGACUAAAAUGUAAACUGAAGUAAACAAAAGUGACCAUGGAUAUAGUUUUCCCUUAAAUAUAUAAAGUGACCAUGCAAUUGAUAAUCAUAUACAAUAAUCAACAUUUGACUAAACUUUGCAACCUAUACAAGUCUUUUUCGGAUUUCGACGAAAUAUAAACAAAAAUCCCGAGAAGAUACUUAAAACAUUUACUCAUCCGUGGCAACUGACUGAAAAAAUUUGGGUUGUCGUCUAGCUCAUAAUCGUAUACAAGGUCAAUACCAAUUUCUAGCACCGAUAAAUCUGAAAGAACCCGAAGACUAACAUGAUCACCAGCUUCUAAUUCAUCACCCCUAAAGUUCCAACAAGUCGUCCAGUAUAAGGUAUUCUUAGUUUCAGGAAUUCCCAUGAAAUGUUUGGAGUAGGUCCACUUUGUACCUUUGGUCUCGUUCACAAUUUCAAGGCAUGGUAAAAAUCCAUAUGUUUUAUCAUUCUUGGCAGAAAAAAUGAUAAUCGAAUUUAAGAAGCAACUUAUCUUUCGACUAGAGUUUGGGGGCACUGAUAUUGAAACCUCAGUCUUGCCUGCUUGAUGGCCAAAGUAAUGACCAUCGUAAUCAAAUGGCAAUGGAUCAAAUGUUGUAAUUAUACCGUAAUCAUAUAAUACCUGUAGCAUUGGGUUAGAGAAUGAGUUAUUAAAAAGUAUAUAGUAUAUAAAUAAUUUUAAAUACUUGGAACUUGCAAAGGGAACUUGUGGGGAAGCAACCACUUUUGAUUCUUCUAUAUAACUGCAAAGUUGCACUUUAACAUUUCCAUAAGAUUCCAAACUGAGCAAGAAUUUAGUUAGGUCAAUCUUGAUAUUUCUUGUGGAAACUUCAUCUCCUAAAAUAUGUACAAUAAUGUGUUAUUUAUCAAUUUUAGUGAUCAUCAACAUAAUAUGCUUAUUACAAAAUAAUAGUAUUGACUUGAAUGGAGUGAUAAUUAAAACUUUUAUCAAAUACUCAUUUGACACGAAUUAAAAUCGUGACCCAUCCCCUAUACUCAAUAUUGUAUGAAAAAAAGAUAUCAAAGUAUUAAUGUUAUUAUCACUAAAAUGUAUUAUAAGACUUGUAAGAAAUAAUCAAUUAUACACAUUAUAUCUUUAUUUUUUAUUUUAUUUUUAUAUAAAAUAUAAACUUUAAAACCAUUAAAUAUGUUAAUCAAAACUCCACUGUUAUAAUUUUAUCCAUUAUUUUAGUUUCCACUUCUAUUAGUAAUAUUGGAUUAAUCAUUUAUCAAGCAAUUAACUUAUUUUAGUUAGACCCCAAUUGCAGCAUAACUUUAUAAUUAUCAUUUUAUUAUUAACCUAAAUUUCUCUCAUAAUCUAUUAAAUUGUCACAUUUCUUGAUAAUAUUUUUAUUGUAUUAGAAAGUCUUUUAGAGAAACAUUCAUCAUUUCUUGAACAUUUGUUAUUCACAUAUAAAAUGAAACAAUAAAAUAAAUAUAUAAUAGAAUGUAUUUACUAAAAUAUAAUUAUUUGAAGUCUACUCAUACCUGUAGAUAAGUGCGAAAAGUCAUAUUCAUAUCCAAUGUUGUGUUCUGAUUCAUAAGUAACGCCAAAUUUUCUUAUGCUGAGAUGCAUAGGCACUACCAUGCAACUCACAAGGUCACCACCUUCAAACUGACAGUCCGUUACUGGCCAGUGAAUCAACCACAACAUUGUGUUAUCGUUAGUCUGAGGAAUUCCAAUGAAACUUGAGCGAUAUCUCUGCAUGAUCCUUUUGGUCUCAUUGAAAAUGUGGACACCUGGUAGAAGCUCCAACAUUUGAUCACUAGCUAAAGAGAAAACAAUGCAUAAGCUGAACCGAUGGAUCUUUUCAUCUGGAUGAGAUGGUGUUGGCAAAAAAAAAGAGAUUCGAUGCUCGUUAGUGCGAUGCUUAAACCCAAUCGGAACUUCACUUCCUACAACAAAUGUGCUUGUUAUACCACAUUCUUGCAAGACCUGAUCCAAAAAGAACAAGUUAGAUGAUUAAGUAGUAUAAAAGAAAAAUUAGAUUUAAAAUUUAAGUUGGAGAACUAUUGGACCUGUGGGGUAGCUAGCAUUAUGCUGUCUGUUAGGUAGCUAUAAAGUUGCAGUCGAUUUCUGUUAAUGGAAUCCACGUUGAAUAAUCUUCUAAUCUCUUCUGCUCCAAAGUUUUCAAUUGGUUCCACCUUGAAUAGAUCUUCAACCUCAGUCAAUUUUUCACAUCCAAAAAUAUUAACACAUCGUGUGGAAGAAAAGAAGCGUGGAAGAAGUGAAGAAUUGACUCCAAAAAUAAAGUUGCACUCAAAAACAUCAAGCAAGACCGGAAGCUUUGGAAUCAUUUGGAGUUCAGUGCAAGAAGUCAAUAGAAGUUGAUCAAGUUCUGUAAGGUAUUUUAAGCUCUCGGGUAGGUAACGAAUUGGGUUUCUACUUAAAUUUAAAGAUUUCAAGGAUGCCAAGUUACAAAGAUCAUUGGGCAUGACAUCAUUAGAUAAUUUGCAACUUUCAAGGCUUAACUUUACCAAAGAGCCCGGUAGAGAUGCCCAAGAGAAACCCAAUCCUUUGCUUCUUUUCAGUAAGAGCCAAUGCAACCCCAAUCUUGAUUGAUAUAUGGCAGUUUCAUCUAAAUUAAGCACCUUCAAUAAUUCCAUAUUAUGCAACUCCCUAGGAACAUCAUCAAGUCUUGAACAACCAGAUAAGAUAAGCUCUUCAAUUGAUAUUAAUGAACCAAUUGUCCUUGGAAGUUUCCUAAGACUUGUGCAAUCUUUAAGGUUCAAGAAAGUAAGCAUCUUUAGCUCACCAAUGGAUUGAUCAACUUCCACCAAAUUUAUGCAGUCUUUAAGCAUCAACUUCUCAAGGCUAGGGAGUCCUGAAAAGCUUGGGGUUUUAAGAAGGCUAUGUGAAUGGUUGAGAUUAAGGAUCUUUAAAUUUGGGAGGCACUGCAAAAAAGGAAAAACCCUUCAUUUAUAUAUCAUUGUUUCUCACACACAAAAAGAAGGAAUAUUAGUAUAUAUCAUACCUCUGUAUCCUUCCAAACUUGUUUAAGUUUACUGUUGCGCAUGUCGAGAACAACUAGUUCAUUGAUAUCAAAAUCCACCGGAAAAGAUUGCAUACAAAACCCAUGCCAACGUAACCAUCUUAAUCUUUUGGGAAAGUCUUUGAAGUCUCCUUUAAGUCUCACAUAAUCCAGUUGAAGCUGUUUAAGUCUCUUCAUCUUUGCAAAUGCUUGAGUUUCCAUAUCAACAUCAUUUGCCAUGAGAAACUGACUUUUGGAAUGCUUUGGAAAAUGUAGAGUUGUAUUUGUCCUUUUAGCCUUGUCUUCUAGCAAUCCUUUUAGGUCAAGUGUGAGGCACUUAACUGUUCUGGAACCCUGCAUCAGAAAAACUUUUUUAAAAAAUAAAAAGAAAUUUGAUAAAAAAGAAAAAAAGUAGUUUACAUGCACACAAGAAAAAAGUUGAGUAAAAUGAUGUUUCGUACAAUUUUUUCUCUUACUACAUCAAAAGCGUUCUUAUGCCACAAUCUGCUCGCUUCCCAAUAUCACAAGAUUCUUGACGAAUAAUUUCUCGUCCCAUAUCUCUAAUCAUUUGAUGCAUCAUUAGCUUAUUUUUUUCAUUAAUGAUUGAGAGAGACAUGCCUACUAGAUUUUCAAUUCCAAUUAUUGUAUAGAAUCCUAAAUUCCAACCCAUAUUGUUUGAAAAUUUUUAGGAUCGUAUUUUUCAAAAAUUCUUCGAAGUUUUCAAUCUUCAACACUAAAGACAUUAAAUAAUCGACUAGGUACCAAUUUUGGGCAUAAUGAGGGUGCUAAUCCUUCCUCGUACGUAACCGACUCUCGAACCCAUCUUUCUGAAUUUCGUAGACCAAAGUCGUUGUUCUAAUAAAAUUAAAUUGUUUAUUAAAAACAACCACUUUUCAAGGUGACCUGAUCACACCUUAUCAAAAAAGAUUGGUGGCGACUCCCAUUUUCGUUUUAGUUUUUUAAAUCCAAGUCGACCCCGUUUUUACCAAAAAAAUGGUGUCAACAAUAUCUAUUUUAAAAUUUUAAUAUAAUUAAUGAAAAACAAUUCACAUAUAUGAAUCAUCAAAUUUGACGUGCUUAGAGAACCCCAUGCGAUGGCCUGAUGAUUAAGGUUGUUCAAAAUACAUUAAUGAUAAAAUUUAACGUGAUUAAAUAAAUAUCGAAUUUUGUUAUAUUUUUAAUAAUAAAUAUAGGUAAAAUGGUAAUAAAUUGGUAUUUUAAUGCCAUUAAAAACGUGUCAGAUAAAUAUUAGAUUAGAUAUCCAAUAUUAAUAAUCAAUAUAUAUUAAUUGAAUUAUACAUUUUAAUUAAGGAUGAGUGUCGAAAUUCAAAAUUGUAAAUAUUAAUAUAUACUGAAUUAAAUUACUACCAUACAUAAUCUUAUUCAAAUAAUAAUAAUGAAAAAAAAUGAGUGUUUCAGACAAUUUCGUUGUAUUUGUUUGUUCUAUGAUCCAACUAUAGUAGGUAAGCGUGGUGUAGGUUCAUCGUACUCCCAUCCAGUAGCUUUAAUUUGCUCUAAUGGAAUCGAAAACGAAUCAAUCCUUUUAACUUCUUCUUCCUCUUCAUCAUUGGAAAGUGACUUUAUUUCCAAAAAAAAAAGGUUUUGGAUCAAUUUGGAGUUCCAAUCAAUAUCAUUGAUAUAAAUAUCGGUUGCAUUACUUGGCAACUUAUUUGUGCAAGGAAAACGAUGAUAAUAUUCUCAGAAUCUCUAUUUGGCUUCCUGAAAAGCUUUUAAACUAUCUGAAUCAUUCCAUUCGAAUACUUUAUCGGUUUUGAACAAAUUAUUCUUUGAUUCAACAAAUCUUUUCCAUGGCAUUGCACCCACUUUUAUGCAAAAAAAUUUCUCCCAUGCCGAUAAUGGUUCCCAUGAAUUACUGUUAUCAUUCGAUUUGGGACAAGUACAUUUCUUUUUUUAGUAACUUUGUUGGCGAUUAUGAUAUCUUCUUUGAUAGUAUGACAUGAGUUCUUGUAAUCCAAACAAAUAAAGGAAUUGAAAUCGCUAAUGAUAUGGAGGGGACUUGUUGGGUUUAUAUAAGAUUAUUAGAGUUGGUGGUUACUCAAUCCUUUUUCAACAAUUCUAAUUUCAGUUUGAUUAUGAUUUCUAUUUUCUAAAUAUUUGUAUAAUAAAAUUAUUAAAAAAUAAUUAUAUCUGUAUUGAUAAUAUUUUCUUAUUAAAUGAGUUUUAUAAGUUAAAUAGCAAUCAAACGAAGACUGAGAGACUGAAUUGCAUUUGGUCUUGGGGGUGAUCCAUCGCUUGUGAUCCACCUCUCUUUCCUGGGAAUUGAACUUAGUGUGAUUUUUCAGUACAAUAAUUUUACUCUUUCACACGCUUCCGCGCAACAAUUGGUACCAGAGCCAAGUUCGUACUUGGAGAAUAUGACCGUUUACGGUACUAUUCACGUAUACGGCACUAUUUACGUAUAUGGUACUAUUUACAUAUAUGGCACUAUUCACGUAUACGGUACUGUUCACGUAUACAGUAGUUGGGAUUGAGGAGAAAAAUGGCAGCAGCAUCGUCAUCAGCAAGGACUACUGUGACAAAUGCAAAAUUUGAAGUAGAGAAAUUUGACGGUACCAAUAAUUUUGGUAUGUGGCAAUGUGAGAUCCUGGAUGUCUUAUGUCAGCAAGAGCUAGAUAUAGCCCUUGAAGAAAAACCUGACAAGAUGGAUGACAAGGAGUGGGCCAAGAUCAAUAGACAGGCGUGUGGUACAAUCCGCCUAUGUUUGGCCAAAGAGCAGAAGUACUCUGUCAUGAGAGAGACAUCAGCGAAGAAGUUAUGGGAUACACAGGAAGAAAAGUUUCUAACGAAAAGUCUUGAAAAUAGGCUUUAUAUGAAAAAGAAACUUUAUCGAUUCACGUAUGCACCUGGUAUGUCGAUGAAUGACCAUGUGAACUCAUUCAAUAAAAUUUUAGCAGACUUGCUAAAUUUGGAUGAGAAAUUUGAAGAUGAAGACAAGCAUUAUUGUUGUUGAAUUCCCUUCCUGAUGAAUAUGAUCAUCUUACCACCACAUUGCUUCAUGGGAAGGACACGAUCACAUUUGAUGCAGUCUGUAGUGCGUUGUAUAGAUCUGAGACUAGAAAGAAAGAUAAAAGAGAUCACAGAGAUACAACCGCAGAAGUCUUAACAGUAACAGGUCGUUCACACAACAGCAAAUCUGGUAGAAGGGGAAAGUCCAAAGGGAGACCCGCCAAAGAUGAAUGUGCCUUUUACCGUGAAAAAGGGCAUUGGAAAAAGAAUUGUCCUAAGCUACAAAAGGGCAAGGCUAUUUCUAAUGCAUAUGUAGCGGAGCAUGAUGAGGAGUCAGACUUUAGCUUGGUUGGCAUGGCAAUGGCAUGUCAAACGGAUGAGUGGAUUUUGGAUUCAGGAUGUACUUACCAUAUGUGUCCUAAUAAGGACUGGUUUUCUAGUUUUAAAGAGCUAGAAGGUGGAAUUGUUCUUAUGGGCAAUGAUAGUGCUUGUAAGACUAUGGGAGUGGGUACAGUCCAAUUGAAGAAUCACGAUGGCUCAAUCCAAGUCUUGACAGAUGUUCGCUACGUACCUAGCCUGAAGAAAAAUCUCAUCUCAUUAGGUGCCCUAGAAUCUAAAGGGCUCACAAUCACUUUGAGAGAUGGAUUACUAAAAGUAGUAGCUGGGAAACUGACGGUGAUGAAAGGCAUAAGAAGAAAUAACUUGUAUUUUUUAAAUGGAAGUACAGUUAUUGGAUCAACAUCAACAGUUUCUACAAAAGAUGUAGAUUCAGAGGCUACCAGAUUAUGGCAUAUGCGAUUGGGACAUGCUGGUGAAAAAGCUUUGCAGACAUUGGUGAAGCAAGGCUUAUUGAAAGGUGCAAAUUCUUGCAAAAUGGAAUUCUGUGAACAUUGUGUUCUGGGCAAGCAGAAGAGGGUAAAAUUUGGUCCAGUAAUUCACAAUACGAAAGGAAUUCUGGACUACGUUCACAGUGAUGUGUGGGGACCCACCAAAGUAGCUUCUUUGGGAGGUAUGCACUAUUUUGUUACUUUUGUUGAUGAUUAUUCAAGAAAAGUAUGGGUGUAUCUAAUGAAAAGAAAAAGUGAAGUUUUGGAUGCAUUUCUGAAAUGGAAGAAGAUGGUGGAGACUCAGACUGGUCGAAAGGUCAAACAACUUUGAUCAGAUAAUGGUACUGAGUACAAAAACGAUCCAUUUCUACAAGUAUGCCAAGAUGAGGGCAUUGUGUGACACUUCACUGUUCGGGAUACACCACAGCAAAAUGGGGUGGCAGAACGAAUGAAUCGAACUAUACUGGAGAAAGUUCGAUGUAUGUUGUCCAAUGCUGGAUUGGGCAAAGAAUUUUGGGCUGAGGCAGUUACAUAUGCGUGCCAUCUAAUUAACCGUUUGCCAUCAGCUGCAAUAAAUGGAAAAACUCCUAUGGAGAUGUGGACUGGUAAAUCUGCUACUGAUUAUGAUUCUUUGCAUGUAUUUGGUUCCACUGCAUAUUAUCAUGUAAAAGAAUCUAAGUUAGACCCAAGAGCAAAGAAAGCAUUAUUCUUGGGUAUAACUGAUGGAGUAAAAGGAUAUCGUCUCUGGUGUCCUGAUACAAGGAAGAUUGUUUUCAGUAGAGAUGUGACUUUUGAUGAAUCAACCAUGUUGAAGUACAAGGAUUCACAAAAGGAUGACAAAACCAGUAGUACUUUGCAGCAGGUGGAGCUUGAAAAGGUUAACGAUGAUCCAGCUAAUAUUGAAGGGACAAAUGAUGAAGAGGUUCCUACCCAAGAACCUCUACAGCAACAAGAUUCAAUUGCAUAUAGAAGGCCAAGAAGAGAGAUUCGUAAGCCUGCUCGCUUUGAUGAUAUAGUGGCCUAUGCACUUCUAAUUACAGAUGAUGAUGUUCCUUCUACUUACACAGAAGUAAUAAGUAACCCUGAUGGUGUAAAGUGGAAGCAAGCAAUGAAUGAAGAAAUGCAGUCUCUUCAUAAAAAUAAGACCUGGGAGUUGGUGACACUACCCAAGGGAAAGAAGGAAAUUGGAUGCAAAUGGGUAUAUGCAAAGAAGGAAGGAUUUCCUGAUAAAAAUGAAAUUCGAUACAAGGCUAGAUUAGUAGCAAAGGGUUACGCUCAGAAAGAAAGAAUAGACUACAAUGAAGUGUUUUCUCCAGUUGUGAAGCAUUCGUCUAUUCGGAUUUUGCUAGCCUUGGUUGCGCAAUAUGAUCUUGAACUAGUUCAGCUUGAUGUGAAGACCGCGUUUUUACACGGUGAUUUGGAAGAGGAAAUCUAUAUUACUCAGCCAGAUGGAUUCAAGGUUGCUGGAAAAGAAAAUUGGGUUUGCAAACUGACAAAGUCGCUUUAUGGAUUGAAGCAAUCUCCGAGGCAGUGGUACAAGCGAUUUGAUCAGUUCAUGAAAGGGCAAAGGUACACAAGAAGUAAAUUUGAUCAUUGCGUGUAUUUUCAGAAGCUACAAGAAGGAACUUUCAUAUACUUGCUUUUAUAUGUUGAUGAUAUGAUAAUAGCAUCUAAGAGCAAAGUUGAGAUUGAAAGAUUGAAGACUCAACUCAAUCUCGAGUUUGAGAUGAAAGAUCUAGGAGAAGCUAAAAAGAUUCUCGGCAUGGAAAUAUGGAGAGAUAGAGCUCAUGAUAGAGUUAGCUUGUCUCAGAAGCAGUAUUUGAAAAAGGUACUAUAGCAGUUUGGCAUGAACGAGCAGACAAAACCUGUAAGUACCCCAUUGGCUUCUCAUUUCAAGCUUUCUGCACAACUAUCUCCUUCGACGAAUACGGAACAAGAAUACAUGUUGCAAGUUCCGUAUUCUAAUGCAGUGGGUAGCUUGAUGUAUGCAAUGGUGUGUACAAGACCCGACAUUUCAUAGGCAGUUAGUAUAGUGAGCAGGUAUAUGCAUAAUCCUGGAAAAGGACAUUGGCAAGCUGUGAAAUGGAUUCUACGGUAUAUUCAGAAGAUCGUGGAUGUUGGAUUACUGUUCAAGCAGGAUAAUACACUUGGUAAAGGUGUUAUUGGGUACGUUGAUUCUGACUAUGCCGGUGAUUUGGACAAGCGAAGAUCAACCACCAGUUAUGUGUUUACACUUGCUGGAGGUCCAAUAAGUUGGAAGUCUACACUACAGUCUACAGUUGCAUUGUCAACCACAGAAGCCGAGUACAUGGCUGUAACAGAGGCUGUAAAGGAGGAUAUUUGGUUACAAGGUAUGGCUAAAACCUUGGGGUUGGUUCAGGAGCAUAUUAACGUGUAUUGUGAUAGUCAAAGUGCUAUUCAUUUAGCAAAGAAUCAAGUCUAUCAUGCACGUACAAAACAUAUCGACGUACGAUUCCAUUUUGUGCGGGAAAUUAUUGAAGAGGGGAAAAUUUGUCUUCAGAAGAUCAAGACUACAGAUAAUCUCGCAGAUAUGAUGACCAGGUGGUAACAGCAACCAAGUUCGAACAUUGUUUGAACUUGAUUAAUAUCCUGCAAGUUUAACAGUUGAAGAAGGCACUAUCAAGUAUUGUUGUCAAAGGCAGAAAGAAUUGUGUGAAGAUAAGAUUAUCCUAAUCAAAUCUUCAAGGUGGAGAUUAUUGAAACCCACCCACAUUGUUUGAAAAGUCAAAAAGGGUGGGCACCGAAAGUAGAAAGUAAGAUUGGUUGGCAAGUUGGGUUAAAAGUUGGCAUGGGAUAAUUGCAAUUUUGGUCCCUAAUUGUAUAGGGACAUUGCAAGUUGAUCCUUAAACCUCAACUAUAAAUAGGCCUAACCAUUUCUUAUUUUCUUUAUCCCAUACUUUCCAUUCUCUACUUAAGGCAAUUGUUCUCUCUCCCUAUUUGUAAACUUUCACUUGUAUUUUUGGAGUGAAAUAUAUUUGGUAGUGCCCGAGGACGUAGGCAAAAUUUGCUGAACCUCGUUAAAAUUCUAGUGUUCUUUAUUUUUUGUUCUGCAUAUUUUGCAAGUGUCAUUGUAGUAAUUUAUUGUGCUAUUAAAUUACGAUAGAGGGAUAUUCUGGCUAGGAAAGAUCUGGUAUGUAAGCGAUCCUCGUGAUCCACCUCUCUUUCCUGGGAAUUGAACUUAGUGUGAUUUUUCAGUACAAUAAUUUUACUCUUUCACACGCUUCCGUGUAACACAACCACUAUCCACCAUCUACAUCCUUCCCCUAUAUAAACUCUGCAAUAUAUAUAUAUAUAGAGAGAGAGACACACACACACACACACACAAAUUAUGGAAGGCAGGAAAGUUAGAUAUCAAAUACGGCUGGCAUGGUGGUUUCACAGCCGCUAUUUCAAAAUAACUAAAGAUCUCAUUAGCUGUGUGAACAAAUUUCAGAUGUUCUUCAAAAUCCAAAGCAGAAAAAUCACAUACAGAGGCUAAGAUCAGAUAACUGAUACUCAAGUUCAAAUUUAAGGGCUUCGAAUUUACCUCAUUUGAUCAGAGUCGUGGUGAGAUGCUCGCUUGGGGCAAAGAUCCGUACGAAGAGGAUAAGGGGAGGAAGGAUUUCUUAAAAAAAACAAAUGGUUAAAAUCUUCUUUAGUCCCUGUACUUUGUAAAUGUUGUGAAUUCAGUUCCUAUAUUUUAAUUCGAAUAAUUUCAGUCCCUUUACUUUUUGAAGUAGUAGUUACAUCCAUUAAAUUCAAUUACUAGUACUGCACUACACGUACGGUUGUAGACUUAGUCUAUAUGCCCCAAUUGGAUCAUUCUAAGUCUCUAUACUUUUUGGAUUUUAAAAUUUUAAUCUCGAUGUAAAUGAUAGUUAUUAAUCAAUUAAUUGGAUUUUUAGUGAGUAAUAUGCGAAAAUAAAAAAAAAUAACAUGACAUUACACAUAUAUAGGAUAAUAUGUUCAUCGCAUCAUAUUUUAAAAAUAGCAUAACUUAAUAAAUUUAACAGGUAUCGUUUGGUAAGGAUUAAAAUUUAAAAAUUCUAAAAGUAUAAAAACUAAAAUUGACCAAAUUAAAGUAUAGAAUCUAAAUCCAUAAUUUUUAUAAAAUACAGGGACUAAUAACAUAAUUUAACCUUUUUGUCAAAAAUAAAUUAUAUAUAGUUUUAGAUAGAGAAGAGCCCAAAACUUCUUCUGUACUUUUGUAAUUAAAUUAAAUUAAUAUACAACUUAGAGUAAAAGACCUAAUUUUUUAAUCAUUUUUUUAUACAUGUAAUUUUAACUUUUUAUAUGUCAUCCAAGUGCAAAGGAAACUCCUUUUGAUGGAAGAAUCAACUUAAAAACCCUCUUCAUAUAAAAGCUGUUGGUUCAAAUUUAAAAAUCUCAUCCAAUUUUUGGAUUUGGAAAUUUCUUAUUUAAAAUAAUUCUUACCUGAAAAUUUUGUAUCUCAUCAAAACAUUUUCACUAAUGUAAUCAAUGCUCACAAAAAGUACCAUGUAUGCAUUACUUGAACAAAAAAACGAGAAGCAGUAAUUAUUCUUCUUUAACCUAGCCACCUUCAGAUUAGCUCCUCAAAUAGUUUCUCACAAUCUCUUUAUCUAUGCUUGAUCCUCCAAUGUUUGAUGAGUCUUUGCCAACUUAUCCUUUAGCCAUGAAAAUUCCAAACCGAUGACUCCGUAUCUUUCACCCUUACCAACAUAUCAUUGAUAUAAGUUAGCUCAAGCUUAUUCAGAUCGCUUUCUAAUUUCUGAUAAAUUUCAGCAACUGCAUUCAUAAUAUUGCUCUGAAACUCUCGAUUAUUCAAUUGAAAUUGGACAGCAAAGUGAGCAUGAUUUUGAAAUAUUUUAUUGAGCACAUCAGCAUUGUGUUGAUGAACCUCGUAUUUGUUGACGAUGACUGUUGUGUCAUCUAACAUCAAAAGUAAUUAAAGAUCAUGUCUCUACUAUUGGGAAUUAUCCAUAUUUAUGGAAAAUCAAAGAUAUGGGUAUCAAAUAAUAGAAAGUCAAAGAUAUGGGUAUCAAAUAUUGGAAAGUCAAAGAUAUGGGUAUCAAAUAUUGGAAAGUCAAAGAUAUGGGUAUCGAGAUAUUGGCAUAAUAAAAUCUGAGAUAUUUGCAAUAUAUGGUCCCUAAUUGUAAAGUGACUUUGCAAGUUGAUCCCUGAACCUCAACUAUAAAUAGGCAUAACCAUCUCUCAUUCUGUAUCUCAAACUUGCCAUUCUCUACUUAAGGCAUUGUUUUCUCUCUCUCUCUCUCUUUGUAAAUUCUCACUUGUAUUUUGGAGUGAAAUAUAUUUGGUAGUGCUCGAGGACGUAGGCAAAAUUUGCUGAACCUCGUUAAAUUCUUGUGUUCUUUAUUGUAUUAUUCUGCAUGAAUUGUGUGUGUGAUUGUAGUGAUUUAUUGUGCUAUUAAAUUACGAUUGAGGGAUAUUCUGGCUAGGAAAGACCUGGUACUUAAGCGAUCCUUGUGAUCCACCUCUCUUUCCUGGGAAUUGAACUUAGUGUGAUUUUUUAGUACAAUAAUUUUACUCUUUUACACGCUUCUGCACAACAAUUGGUAUCAGAGCUAGAUUCGUACCUGGGGAAUACGAUCGUUCACGGCACUAUUCACGUACUGUAGUUGGGAUUGAGGAGAAAAAAAUGGAAAAGUCAUCGUCAAAGACUACUGUGACCAAUGUAAAAUUUGAAGUAGAGAAAUUUGAUGGUACCAAUAAUUUUGGUAUGUGGCAAUGUGAGAUCCUGGAUGUCUUAUGUCAGCAAGAGCUGGAUAUAGCCCUUGAAGAAAAACCUGACAAGAUGGAUGACAAGGAGUGGGCCAAGAUCAAUAGACAGGCAUGUGGAACAAUUCGCCUAUGUUUGGCCAAAGAGCAGAAGUACUCUGUCAUGAGGGAGACAUCAGCGAAGAAGUUGUGGGAUACACUGGAAGAAAAGUUUCUAACAAAAAGUCUUGAAAAUAGGCUUUAUAUGAAAAAGAAACUUUAUUGAUUCACGUAUGCACCCGGUAUGUCGAUGAAUGACCAUGUGAACUCAUUCAAUAAAAUUUUAGCAGACUUGCUAAAUUUGGAUGAGAAAUUUGAAGAUGAAGACAAGGCAUUACUGUUGUUGAAUUCUCUUCCUGAUGAAUAUGAUCAUCUUACCACCACAUUGCUUCAUGGGAAGGAUACAAUCACAUUUGAUGCAGUCUGUAGUGCAUUGUAUAGAUCUGAGACUCGAAAGAAAGAUAAAAAAGAUCACAGAGAUACAACUACAGAAGUCUUAACAGUAAGAAGUCGUUCGCGCAGCAACAAAUCUGGUAGAAGGAGUAAGUCCAAAGGGAGACCUGCCAAAGAUGAAUGUGCCUUUUGUCGUGAGAAAGGGCAUUGGAAAAAGAAUUGUCCUAAGUUACAAAAAGGUAAAGCUAUUUCUGAUGCAUGUGUAGCGGAGCAUGAUGAGGAGUCAGACUUUAGCUUGGUUGGCAUGGCAAUGGCAUGUCAUACAGAUGAGUGGAUUUUGGAUUCGGGAUGUACUUACCAUAUGUGUCCUAAUAAGGACUGGUUUUCUAGUCUUAAAGAACUAGAAGGUGGAGUUGUUUUUAUGGGCAAUGAUAGCGCUUGUAAGACAAUGGGAGUAGGUACAAUCCAAUUGAAGAAUCACGACGGCUCAAUUCAAGUCUUGACAGAUGUUCGCUACAUACCUAGCUUGAAGAAAAAUCUUAUCUCAUUAGGGGUCAUAGAAUCUAAAGGGCUCACAAUCACUUUGAGAGAUGGAUUACUAAAGGUAGUAGCUGGGGUAUUGACGGUGAUGAAAGGUACAAGAAGGAAUAAUCUGUACUAUUUAAAUAGAAGUACAGUUAUUGGAUCAACAUCAACAGCUUUUACAAAAGAUGCAGAUUCAGAGGCUACCAGGUUAUGGCAUAUGCGAUUGGGACAUGCUGGUGAAAAAGCUUUGCAGAGUUUGGCGAAGCAAGGCUUGUUGAAAGGUGCAAAUUCUUGCAAAUUGGAAUUCUGUGAACAUUGUGUUCUGGGCAAGCAGACGAGGAUAAAAUUUUGUUCAGCAAUUCACAAUACAAAAGAAAUUCUGGACUACGUUCACAGUGAUGUGUGGGGACCUACUAAAGUGGCUUCUUUGGGAGGUAUGCACUAUUUUGUUACUUUUGUUGAUGAUUAUUCAAGAAAAGUAUGGGUGUAUCUAAUGAAAAGGAAAAAUGAAGUUUUGGAUGUAUUUCUGAAAUGGAAGAAGAUGGUGGAGACCCAGGCUGGUCGAAAAGUCAAACGACUUCGAUCAGACAAUGGUACUGAGUACAAGAAUGAUCCAUUUCUACAAGUAUGUCACGAUGAAGGUAUUGUACGACACUUCACUGUUCGAGAUACACCACAACAGAAUGGGGUGGCAGAACGUAUGAAUCGGACUAUACUGGAGAAAGUUCGAUGUAUGUUGUCCAAUGCUGGAUUGGGCAAAGAAUUUUGGGCUGAGGUAGUUACAUAUGCGUGCCAUCUAAUUAAUCGGUUGCCAUCAGCUGCAAUAAAUGGAAAAACUCCUAUGGAGAGGUGGGCUGGUAAACCUGCUGUUGAUUAUGAUUCUUUACAUAUUUUUGGUUCCACUGCAUAUUAUCAUGUAAAAGAAUCUAAGUUAGACCCAAGAGCAAAGAAAGCAUUAUUCAUGGGUAUAACUGGUGGAGUAAAAGGAUACCGUCUCUGGUGUCCUGAUACAAGGAAAAUAAUUUUCAGUAGAGAUGUGACUUUUGAUGAAUCAACCAUGAUGAAGAACAAUGAUUCACAAAAGGAUAACACAACCAGUGGCACUUUGCAGCAGGUGGAGCUUGAAAAGGUUAAUGAUGAUCCAGCUAAUAUUGAAGGAACAAAUGAUGAAGAAGUUUCGACCCAAGAACUUCUACAACAACAUGAUUCAAUUGCAUAUAGAAGGCCAAGAAGAGAGAUUCGUAUGCCUGCUCGCUUUGAUGAUAUGGUGGCCUAUGCACUUCCAAUUGCAGAUGAUGAUGUUCCUUCUACUUACACAGAAGCAAGAAGUAACUCUGAUAGUGUAAAGUGGAAGCAAGCUAUGAAUGAAGAAAUGCAGUCUCUUCAUAAAAAUAAGACCUGGGAGUUGGUGACACUACCCAAGGGAAAGAAGGCAAUUGGAUGCAAAUGGGUAUAUGCAAAGAAGGAAGGAUUUCCUGAUAAAAAUGAAAUUCGAUACAAGGCUAGAUUAGUAGCAAAGGGUUACGCUCAGAAAGAAGGAAUAGACUACAAUGAAGUGUUUUCUCCAGUUGUGAAGCAUUCGUCUAUUCGGAUUUUGCCAGCCUUGGUUGCGCAAUAUGAUCUUGAACUAGUUCAGCUUGAUGUGAAGACCGCGUUUUUACACGGUGAUUUGGAAGAGGAAAUCUAUAUGACUCAGCCAGAUGGAUUCAAGGUUGCUGAUAAAGAAAAUUGGGUUUGCAAACUAACAAAGUCACUUUAUGGAUUGAAACAAUCUCCAAGGCAGUGGUACAAGCGAUUUGAUCAGUUCAUGAAAGGGCAAAGGUAUACAAGAAGUAAAUUUGAUCAUUGCGUGUAUUUUCAGAAGCUACAAGAAGGAUUUUUCGUAUACUUGCUCUUAUAUGUUGAUGAUAUGUUGAUAGCAUCUAAGAGUAAAGUUGAAAUUGAGAGAUUGAAGACUCAACUCAACCUUGAGUUUGAGAUGAAAGAUCUAGGAGAAGCUAAAAAGAUUCUCGGCAUGGAAAUAUGGAGAGAUAGAGCUAAUGAUAGAGUUAGCUUGUCUCAGAAGCAGUAUUUGAAAAAGGUACUACAGCAGUUUGGCAUGAACGAGCAGACAAAACCUGUAAGUACCCCGUUGGCUUCUCAUUUCAAGCUUUCUGCACAACUAUCUCCUUCGGCGAAUACGAAACGAGAAUACAUGUUGCAAGUUCCGUAUUCUAAUGCAGUAGGUAGCUUGAUGUAUGCAAUGGUGUGUACAAGACCCGACAUUUCACAGGCAGUUAGUAUAGUGAGCAGGUAUAUGCAUAAUCCUGGAAAAGGACAUUGGCAAGCUGUGAAAUGGAUUCUACGAUAUAUUCAUAAGACCAUGGAUAUUGGAUUACUGUUCAAGCAGGAUAUUACACUUGGUAAAGGUGUUGUUGGGUACGUUGAUUCUGAUUAUGCCGGUGAUUUGGACAAACGAAGAUCAACCACUGGUUAUGUGUUUACUCUUGCUGGAGGACCAAUAAGUUGGAAGUCUACACUGCAGUCUACAGUUGCGUUGUCAACCACAGAAGCUGAAUACAUGGCUGUAACAGAGGCUGUAAAGGAAGCUAUUUGGUUACAAGGUAUGGUUAAAACCUUGGGAUUGGUUCAGGAGCAUAUUAAUGUGUAUUGUGAUAGUCAAAGUGCUAUUCAUUUAGCAAAGAAUCAAGUCUAUCAUGCACGUACAAAGCAUAUCGAUGUACGUUUCCACUUUGUGCGGGAAAUUAUUGAUGAGGGGAAAAUUCACCUUCAGAAGAUUAAGACUGCAGAUAAUCCCGCAGAUAUGAUGACCAAGGUGGUAACAACAAUCAAGUUCGAACAUUGUUUGAACUUGAUCAAUAUUCUGCAUGUUUAACAGUUGAAGAAGGCACUAUCAAGUGUUGUUGACAAAGGCAGAGAGAAUUGUGUGAAGAUAAGAUUACUCGAAUCAAAUCUUCAAGGUGGAGAUUAUUGGGAAUUAUCCAUAUUUAUGAAAAAUCAAAGAUAUGGGUAUCAAAUAAUAGAAAGUCAAAGAUAUGGGUAUCAAAUAUUGGAAAGUCAAAGAUAUGGGUAUCAAAUAUUGGAAAGUCAAAGAUAUGGGUAUCGAGAUAUUGGCAUAAUAAAAUCUGAGAUAUUUGCAAUAUAUGGUCCCUAAUUGUAAAGUGACUUUGCAAGUUGAUCCCUGAACCUCAACUAUAAAUAGGCAUAACCAUCUCUCAUUCUGUAUCUCAAACUUGCCAUUCUCUACUUAAGGCAUUGUUUUCUCUCUCUCUCUUUGUAAAUUCUCACUUGUAUUUUGGAGUGAAAUAUAUUUGGUAGUGCCCGAGGACGUAGGCAAAAUUUGCUGAACCUCGUUAAAUUCUUGUGUUCUUUAUUGUAUUAUUCUGCAUGAAUUGUGUGUGUGAUUGUAGUGAUUUAUUGUGCUAUUAAAUUACGAUUGAGGGAUAUUCUGGCUAGGAAAGACCUGGUACUUAAGCGAUCCUUGUGAUCCACCUCUCUUUCCUGGGAAUUGAACUUAGUGUGAUUUUUUAGUACAAUAAUUUUACUCUUUUACACGCUUCCGCACAACAUCUACAUAUCAUUACAUAUGAUUGAGAAGAAAUGAAAUGCUAAAUACGCGAAGAAACAAUAAAUUCAUUAAAUAGUAGCUUGCAACCAUUACUUUGGAAGAAAUCAUCUAUCCAUCUUCAUAAGGAUAAAGAAUAUUCAUAGUCAAAGGAGAGUCCCCCAAAACACCCAUACGAUUCGAAGAUUCAUGAUUCAAAUGUGUUGGAGGAACCUAUAAGCAAAACAGAAUCAAAUACUGACCCAAAAAUAAGCAGAUAAAGUUAAAAACUUUGCAACAUGAUAACACAAUAAAUAAGGAGAAAAGUAAACAGCAUUACGCAUAGAUUUAAAAACUGAAAGGUUUCCAACUUAGGAUUUCUUUUUCUUUUUUGUUCCUACCCGAUGUUUCUUGCUUGGUUUGGUAUCGUACCAUAAAUGUGGGAUCAAUCAGAUAGUCCUGAAAUAACUAUUUAAAGUUUAAAGUGUUCAUGUCUUACGGUAUAAAAUUACAAUUACAAUUACAAGUACAAGAGAAGAGAACCAUUUUUAUAAUACACAAAACAUUUACAAUAUGACACAUACUUACCUUACUCCGUUUUUCUUCUUUACCAUUACCUCUCACACGCUUACGACUCUCUUUUUACAUCAUAGCAAGAAUUAAAACCCCCAUCCUUAUUUAUAAAGUUUAGGGGUUGUUAGAUUAUUAACACAUGUAAACAUCCUUACUAUUUAUUUUAUAAAUAUCUAAUAAUUAGGAUGUUCAUCUAAAAUAUUUAAUUUUCUAGAUAAUAUCCUAUAUUCUAGAAUCUUCCCAAUAAAAUAUCUCUUAAAAGAUAAGUAUAGAUAUACAACAUUUCUAUCUUUUAAACAUUGUACAUACAUAUUUUUUUUAUGAUUGUGUAAAAAUAAAUAUGGUACAACCUCUUUAAUGUCUUCUAAAAAUAAUUAGAAUAUAAAUACAUAUAUUCACGUACAACCCACGCCAUUUUGAACAUUAGUUUUACUCAAUGUUGUAACUGCCUUGCCUUAUAUUUUCUCUAUAUCCUAUAAUUUUACAUAAAACACCUAACAGAACACGUGUUACUACAAUAUUUUUGGGUGUCUUAUAAACUCAAAAUUUGUUAUUUUCUACUUUACCAUAUCUUUCUUAUUCAUAGUUAAUAUUUAUUUUUUAUGUUUAAAAUAAUAUUAAAAGUAAAAAUUUAAUUAAAAUGGUUUACUGCAUAAAAUUAAUAUAUAACUUAAUAUAUAUCAAGAAAAUUACGAAUUUUUAAUUUAUACAAUUAUUUUUUAUAUUUUAUUUUUUCAAUAUAUUCAAAUUAAAUUUUUAAGUAAAUAAAUGUAAUUAAAUUAAAUUAAUACACAUAACCAACUCGGAAUAAAAACCUAAUUUUUUACCAUUAUCUCUCACAUCUCUUGCUUAUGACUCUUUUUUUACAUCAUAGCAAGAAUUAAAGCUCUCACCCUUAUUUAUAAAGUUUAGGGGUCGUUAGAUUGUUAACACAUGUAAACAUCCGUAUAAUUUAUUUUAUAAAUAUCUAAUAAUUAGAAUGUUCAUCUAAAAUAUCUAAUUUUCUAGAUAGUAUCUUUUUUUUUAAUUUUAUAUUCUGAGAAUUUUUGCAAGAAAAUAUUUCUUAAAAUAUAAGUAUAGAUACACAACAUUUCCAUCUUUUAAACAUUGUACAUACAUAUUUUUUUUAUGAUUGUGUAAAAAUAAAUAUUGUACAUACAUACCUCUUUAAUGUCUUCUACAAAUAAUAAGAAUAUAAAUACAUAUAUUCACGUAACCCACGCCAUUUUGAACAUUAGUUUUACUAAAUGUUGUAAGUGGCUUGCCUUAUAUUUUCUCUAUAUCGUAUAAUUUAACAUAAAAAAACCUAACAGAACACGUGUUACUACAAUAUUUUUGGGUGUCUUAUAAACUCAAAAUUUGUUAUUUUCUACUUUACCAUAUCUUUCUUAUUCAUAGUUAAUAUUUAUUUUUUAUGUUUAAAAUAAUAUUAAAAGUAAAGAUUUAAUUAAAAUAAUAUAUAACUUAAUAUAUAUCAAGAAAAUUAUGAAUUUUUAAUUUAUACAAUUAUUUUUUAUAUUUUAUUUUUUUAAUAUAUUCAAAUUAAUUUUUUAAGUAAAUAAAUGUAAUUAAAUUAAAUUAAUACACAUAACCAAGUAAAGAACCUAAUUUUUUUCUUAUUCAUAUGAUUUUAACUUUUGCCUUUUAUAUGUCAUCUAAGUGCACAUAUAGUAUCAUUCAUAACCAAACUACUAUUAAUGGAAGAAUCAACUUAAAAACCCUUAUCCAACUUAAAAGUUCCUCUUCAAAUUUAAAAAUGAAUAAUUCUUACCUGAAAAAUCUCAUCUACCAUGUAUGCAUUACUUGAACAAAAUAACGAGAAGCAGCAAUUACUCUAGCCGUUGUUUCUUCUUUAACUUAGCCAACUUCAAAUUGGCUUCUCGUAUAGUUUCUCACAAUUUCUUUAUCUCUGCUUGAUCCUCCAAUGUUUGACAAGUCUUUGCCAAGUUAACCUUUAGCCAUGAAAGUUCCAAAUAGAGGAUCUCUAUGUCUUUCACCCUUUACCAACUUAUCAUCGAUAUCAGUUAGCUCAAGCUUAUUCAGAUUGCUUUCUAAUCUUCAGUAAAUUUCAACAACUGUAUUUAUAAUGUUGCUUUGAAACUCUUGAUUGUUCAAUAGAAAUUGGUCAGCAAAGUGAACAUGGUUUUGAAAUAUUUUAUUGAGCGCGUCAGCAUUGUGUUAAGAAACCUCGUAUCUGUUGAUGAUGACAGCUGUGACAUCAAAGGUUGAGAAAAAAAUGAAAUGCUAAAAAUUAUCUUUAAUAUAACUCAAAGAAACAAUAAAUUCAUGAAAUAGUAGCUUGCAGCCAUUACUUUGGAGCAAAUCAUCUAACCAACUUUUCUGGGCCACAAAAUCUCCACGUCUCCCAAAGAAGAUUCAGGAUUCAAGUGUGCUGGAGGAACCUAUAAGCAAAACAGAAUCAGAUAUUGGUCCAAAAAUAAGCAGAUAAAAUUAAAAACUUUGCAACAUAAUAACACAAUAAAUAAGGAGAAGAGUAAACAGCAUUACGCAUAGAAUUAGAACCUGACAGCUUUCCUACUCAGGAUUUCUCUUUUUUUUUUUGUGUGUGUUUCUAGUUGAUAUUUCUUGUUUGAUUUGGUAUCUUACCAUAAAUGUGGGAUCAAUCAGAUAGUCCUGAAAUAACUAUUUGAAGUUGUUAAGAAAAGAAGCUUAAAGAGUUGAAUGAAUAACUGUUAAUUCCUUUGAGUAAAAAUGCAGUAAAUAUAUACAGAAAAUGUAACUAACACUAUAACUAAUUACAUACUGUUACUUAAUUUCUAACUAACUAUACAAAUGCUGGUACAACAGUUUUACACUCUCAACAUGCCCCCUCAAGUUGGAGGAUGAAAAAUGUCUUUCAUUCCCAACUUGGUCACUAAGUAUUUGUGCUGAGGAAUGCUUAAUCCUUUAGUAAGUAAAUCUGCCAUUUGUUCAUUUGUUAAGAUGUGCUUUGUUUCCACGUCACCUUUUUGAAUUUUCUCUCGAAUAAAAUGACAAUCUAUCUCAAUGUGCUUUGUUCUUUCAUGGAAGACCGGAUUUGAAGCUAUUUGAAGGGUAGCUUGAUUGUCACAAUGUAACAACAUUGGUUUUGAAAUUUUAACUCCCAACUCAGCUAAUAAACCUUUCAACCAGACUAGCUCUGCAACUGUGGUAGCCAUACUUCUGUAUUCUGCUUCUGCAGAUGAUCUAGAUACCGUAUUCUGUUUCUUGGAUUUCCAGGAAAUCAAAGAAUUUCCCAAUUUGACACAAUAUCCUGUAACUGACUUUCUAGUCAUGUUGCAUGAAGCCCAAUCAGAGUCACAAUAUGCAUGUAUAUCUGUCGUUCCUUCUGCUGUGAGAAAAAUACCUUGACCAGGAUUCUUCUUGAGGUAUCUCACAAUACGCAAAGCAGCCUCAUAAUGUUCCUUCUUCGGUUUCUGCAUAAACUGACUAAGGUGUUGUACUCCAAAUGCAAUAUCUGGUCUAGUAUUGGUGAGAUAUAGGAGUCUUCCUAUUAAUCUUUGAUAUAUGCUUGCAUUUUCUAAUUCUGUAUCUGCAUCGUGUAUGUCUAGUGCUGCAUCAUAUUCCAGACUUGUCAUUUUUAGAUUCUGCUCCAAGGGUGUAUUUGCAGGCUUUGCAUUUGUCAAACCAAGAUCAUUAAUAAGUUCAAGAACAUAUUUUCUCUGAUUCAUAAUGAUACCCUCUUUAGAUCUUGCUAUUUCUAUGCCAAGGAAAUACUUGAGAGUACCCAAAUUCUUCAUUUUGAAAUUCUGAUGAAGAGUUUCUUGUAAGUCUUCAAUUAAGGAUUUGUCAUUCCCAGUGAUCAAGAGAUCAUCAACAUAAAUGAGAAAAAUAACAACUUUGCUACCAGAUGAUUUGAUGAACAUAGAGUAGUCAUGCUUACUUUGAACAUAACCGGUGUUGAUGAGAGCCUCACUGAGCUUCAAAUUCCAUUGUCUUGAGGCCUGUUUUAAUCCAUAAAGGGAUUUGAGCAGUCUACAUACAUGAUUGCCCCCUGGAGUGCCAAAUCCCUGAGGUAAGUGCAUGUAAACUUCUUCAUGAAGGUCACCUUGAAGAAAUGCAUUAUAGACAUCCAUUUGAAUGAGAGGCCAGUUAAAUAAAGCAGCAAGAGCAAUAACAAUUCGGACUGUAACCUGCUUAACAACUGGGGAAAACGUGUCCUGAAAAUCAAUACCUUCCUUUUGACUAUAGCCUUUAGCCACUAAUCUUGCUUUAUAGCGUUCAAUAGUGCCGUCUGAAUGGUAUUUGAUUCGAAACACCCAUUUGCAGCCAAUGGGACGUUUUCCUGGUGGGAGUGGAACAACCUCCCAAGUUGAGUUUGCUUCUAAAGCUUGAAUUUCCUGUUGCAUCGCAGCUUUCCAACAAUCAUGUUGAAUGGCCUCUUGGUAGGUUCGAGGUUCAGAGGUGGUAGAGAUGGAAGCAACGAAACAUUGAGUGUGUAAAGGUAAGUGAUGACAUGUUAUAAAGUUGGAGAUUGAAUAUUGACCUUGUGCAGUAGUAGAAGAAGAUGAAGAAGUAGGACAAAUGUAAUCUUGCAUCCAGACAGGUGGUUUGGUGUUUCGGGUGCUUCUUCAAGAAGGAUAAGAGGGUAAGGAAGAUGUUGGUAGGGUAGAAGAAAUAGAGAAAGUAGGGAGGGAAGGUGGUGGUGGUGGUGUUGAAGUGGUAAAAAGAAAAUCAGGGUCAUGCAAAGAACCAAAUGUAUUGUCAUCCAAAGGAAAGAGGGGUUGAUCUUUGGAGGGUGUUGUAAAAGGAAAGACAGAUUCAUGAAAUAGAACAUCUCGACUAACAAAAAAAUUUUGGGAAACAGGAUUGAACAGGAUAUAUCCUUUUUGGACUUGAGAAUAACCCAUAAAAAUGGAUGGUGUAGCUUUGGGAGAAAAUUUAUCAUGCAGAUUGGUUACUGUGGCAUAGCAAAGACAACCAAAAAUUUUAAGGUGAGAAAGAUUUGGUGGCGUAUUAUACAGCAGCUCAAAAGGUGUUUUCCAGCGAAGUACUGCAGAAGGUAACCUAUUAAUUAAGUAACAAGCUGUUAAAACACAUUCCCCCCAAAACUUAAUAGGUACAUGCGAUUGAAAUUUUAAUGCUCGGGCAACAUCUAAAAGAUGGCGGUGUUUGCGUUCGGCCACACCGUUUUGCUGAGGUGUGUGGACACAAGAUGAUUGGUGAAUGAUUCCAAGGGAUUGAAAAAAGAAAGUACCUUCUUUAGUAAAAAAUUCAUGACCAUUGUCACUGCGAACAGUUUUAACAAUUCCAGAAAAUUGUGUUUUGGCUAACAUAAUAAACUGCUUAAGGUUAAAAAGGGCAUCACUCUUAAGUUUUAAAAGAUAUAUCCACGUCAUUCGAGUAUGGUCAUCAACAAUGGUUAAAAAAUAUCUAUGACCAGAAUGAGUUGAAGUGCGAUAAGGACCCCAGAGAUCGACAUGGACAAGAGUAAAAGGUUUUGAUUCUCGUGAAGUACUUUGUGGAAAGGGUAAGCGUGUUUGUUUUGCUAAUGGACAGACAGUGCAUGUUUGAAUGUUAUGAGAAUGCACAGAGCAAUUAUGUAAAAAGUGUAUUUUAUUCAUCUUUGAAAAAGAUGUGUGACCAAGUCUAGCAUGCCACAGAGGGUAAUCAACAUGCUUAGAAACAGAUAAAGAAGUAACAUUUGAAGAAUGUACAGGAAGAGGUACGGGUAGGAAAGUGGGAGUUGAGGAGGGUUGAGGGAGGAGUAGAUAAAGACCAUCUUGUUCCUUACCAAUCCCCAUCAUCUUUCCACUGCAAAGGCCCUGUAAAACACAAAAUGUAGGAUAAAAGGAAAUAAAACAAUUGAGAUCUUUGGUGAGUUUAGAAAUGGAGAGAAGGUUAAAAUUGAAUGAGGGAAUGUAAAGAACAUCUUUAAGAGUGUGAUGAGGUGUAAGAUUAUGAGUACCAAUAUGAGUGAUGGUGGCUGUGUUACCAGUAGGCAAUUUAACAAAAGUGUUGUUAGCACAUGCAACAGGUUGAAUUAAAGCAUUAAAAGCAUGCGUCAUGUGAUUAGAAGCCCCAGUAUCAAGAAUCCAAUGAAUCGGAUCAGAUGCAUAAGAUAUACCUGCCAUGUGAGCUACAGCUUGCACAGAAGAGUUCUUGUGUAAUAGGUCCAAGAUCUGUUGAUACUGUUCAGCAGUAAAUGUAGGAGCCGAAACAAUAGAUGGUGAAGAAGCAGGCAUAGUAAGAGAAUCAGAAGAAGGAACAACAACUUGAUUGACAGUUGGUGAUUUCUUCUUGGUGAACUUGAAAUCAGCAGGAAAGCCAUUGAGGCGAUAGCAGUCGGUUCGAAUGUGACCCCGUUUUUGACAAUAACUACAAGACAAAUCAGAACGCUUCUUGGAAACCGAAGAAGUUGAUGAUUGCUGACUAAGAAGAGCAGUAGGUUCCGAGACAGGUAGUGGAGAAGCAAGUUCUCGUUGAGUUUCAUCACGCAUGACAAGCGAGUAAGCCUGAUUAACUGUGGGCAAAGGUUGCAUCAAAAGGAUCUGGGAUCGAACAUUAGAAUAUGUUUCAUUUAAACCCAUCAAAAACUGAAAAAGACGUUGUUGUUGAAGUUGAGCAUUUCGGCGAAUAAGAUCACAAUCGCAGGUAGAUGAAGGAACAAGAACAUCAUAUUCAUCCCAAAAUAAUCGAAGCUUAGUAAAGUAAGUGGAAAUAGAAUAAGCUCCCUGAGUGUGAGUGGAAAUAGCACGAUGGAGAUAGUAAAUACGAGAACCAUCAACCUUGUCAUAUCGUUCCUGAAGAUCCUUCCAAACAAUGGCAGCAUUGGACGCAAAAACAAUUCCAGCAGAAAGUUCCUGAGUAACAGUGUUAAGGAUCCAAGAAAGAACCAAAGCAUUGCAUCUAUCCCAAUGAGGCAUUAGAUCAGCAUCAAAGUCAGCACGGGAACAUGAACCAUCAAUAAAACCAAGCUUAUUCUUGGCAAGAAGGGCGAUAUGCAUAGACCUGCUCCAAACGCAAUAGUUUUCAGUUCCAGUGAGAUGAUGAGAAACCAAAAGCAUUCCUGGCAUGUCAGAAGGAUGCAAAUAAAGAGGAUGGCCAAAUGGCAAAUUGAAAGAGGAAGGAUUAGCCAUGAAGAAAAAAAAGAAAGAAGAGAAGAGAAGAAUAAAGAAGAAAACUAGAUCAAAGAUGAUCAGGAAAAAGAUUUAGCCUGAUACCAUGUUAAGAAAAGAAGUUUAAAGAGUUGAAUGAAUAACUGUUAAUUCCUUUGAGUAAAAAUGCAGUAAAUAUAUACAGAAAAUGUAACUAACACUAUAACUAAUUACAUACUGUUACUUAAUUUCUAACUAACUAUACAAAUGCUGGUACAACAGUUUUACACUCUCAACAGAAAUUUAAGUGUUCAUGUUGUAUCUCUCUUACAGUAUAAUAUUAAAGUUUUGGAUUCAAACUUCAAUCUGGUACAUAAACUUGAAUGGACAAUGGCAGGAUAGCAUUCUCUCUACAACUACAUGUAAACAAGAGAAUGAAUUAGAAAUUAAAGAAAAAAUGAAUAAUGAUGAUCCGAUCAGUUUAUAGUUUGCAAAAGAUAAAAUAGACAGCUCGUUAAAGAAAUUAAAGGAAUGACAAGUUCUACAAACAUGCCAGUAGGAGUAAGUGAGAUGAGUUAAAAACUUAAUUGGUGAUAACUGAAUAUUGAACUUUAUUUUUGCAUCAUUCAUUAAAAUAGUAGAAAAGAAGUUAGUGGACGAUACAUGCUUGCAUUUUCAGGUCAUAAUUUGCUCUGUGAAACUCAAAAUUCAAUCCUUACCAUCGUUUGGUCUAUUGUUUCCAUUUUCAAUGUUAAUUUCUCUACUCUUCCUCCCACAUGUAUUAGGGUAAAAUUUACUUUCUCAGCUAGUUUCUCUUGAUCAAUCAUCUUCAUUCGAAAUAUAUAAAGAUGAGUAGCAAAGUAAAACAGAGAACAGAACAAUAGAGGCAGACUUCAAACAAAUUACUAAGAAAUGUUAUGGCAACGUUAAAAAGUCUACUCCUUAAUUAACUUGAUGAUAAGCUAUUUUGCAAGACUCAUGUUUGCUACAAAAGGGUUUUCAUGAUAAAUGUAAAACCUUAUACUCCAUUGAUUAAAAGAGGACAUCCUAACACUCCUUUUGCUAUAUAAAAACCUUAUAUAUAAUCCCUGCAUGUAGCUUCAAAUCGUACAAUAGACUCAUAAUUCAUACCUAUAAAUGUUCAUGCUUGCAAAUAAUAGGUAUAUAAAUAAUGACAGGAUCUUUAAUUACCUCUGAUGUCAGAUGUCACAACAGCCAUCGUCAACAGAUACGAGAUUCAUCAACACAAUGCUGACGCGCUCAACAAAAUAUUUCAAAACCAUGCUCACUUUGCUGACCAAUUUCAAUUGAAUAAUCGAGUGUUUCAGAGCAACAUUAUGAAUGCAGUCGCUGAAAUUUAUCAAAAAUUAGAAAGCAAUCUGAAUAAGCUUGAGCUAACUGAUAUCAAUGAUAUGUUAGUAAGGGUGAAAGACACGGAGGUCCCCGGUUUGGAGCUUUCAUGGCUAAAGGAUAAGUUGGCAAAGACUCAUCAAACAUUGGAGGAUCAAGCAGAGAUAAAGAGAUUGUAAGAAACUAUCCGAGAAGCCAAUCUAAAGUUGGCCAGGUUAGAGAAGAAACAACAGCUAGAGUAAUUGCUGCUUCUCGUUAUUCCUUUAAAGUAAUAGCAGCCAAGGUUCUGUCUAGUCUCUCGUACAAAUUGCCGUCACACUAGGUGAAUUUUGGUCCUUGGAAUCCCAGGUCACAUAGAUGAUUAUUAGAGCAAAACGAUUGGAAAUGAGAACACCCCCUACCGCCUUUCCAUUCAUCCAUACUUAGAAUAGAGUUAAAAGCACCACUAAGAAUCCAUGGUUUUGUCAUAUUAUCUACAAUCAAACUUAAACAUUCCCACAAACUAUGCCUUUUAUUGCUUUGAGGACUAGCAUAAAUGAUCGAGACAAAGAAUUGUCAUUGAAGAGCAGACUCUUUAAUCUUAACAGUAGUUGAAAUACUUUCAUCGCCCAAUAUAAUUCGUUACAUUUUGUUGGUGUUGGAAACAAAGAAUAGACAAAUUUAGCUUGCGGCUUGAGCAGCAAGGCUCGAUGCUUGCUGAAGAAACAAUGGAGCUCGAGAAAGAAAAUGAAAAGGAAAGCAAAGAGAAGUGAAGUGAAGAGUAUUGGAACAAAAACUGAUAAUUUUUUAUUCAUCAUAAUCAAUGGCAUAAUGCCAAUACAUAAAUCAAACUUUCAGCUUGUCAAAAAGCAGUAUGCCAACCUAACCAAUACCUACUACCACUAAUACAUUGAAACUUGAAGUAAUUAACUUGUACACAUAAGCAAAGCUGAAUUAAUCAGCUCAAUCACUGUCAAUAUUACAUCAAAUAUCAACCUCACAUAGUUCAAAAUGAACUAAUUAAAUUACAUUACAUCAACUAAGGAUUACAAAAAAGAAACAAAACAUCCUUGUUUGCUCGACUAACCAGCAGCUCCUGCAUGACAUAUGUUUGGUUGGUUUUGUUGCUGCAUGCUGACCAACCUUCAACACAUUUUGACCAUUACAGCCCAGCUACCCUGCAUAUCUUUUCCGAGGAAUAUUCUUACUUGAUCUAUUCAAAAUGUACUUGGCAACUAGUUCUUGCAAGGAAAACCAUAAUAAUUUUCCCUAUUUGAAAUCUUGGAAAUAUUUUAAAUCAACUGAAUCAUUUCACUCGAAUACUUUAUUAAUUUUAUACAAAUUAUUCUUCGCAUCAACAAAUAUUAUUCAGGACAUUGCACCCACUUUCAUGCAGAAUUAUUUUUACCAUGCAAGGAAUUGUCUCCAUGAAUUACUGUCAUCUUUUAGUGUAAGAUGAGUAAAUUUCAACCAGUAAUAACUUUCUUGAUGAACAUGAUGUUGUUCCAAUAGGGUCGGAAGCGUGUAAAUUAUUGUACUAAAAAAUCACACAAAGUUCAAUUCCCAGGGAAGAGAGGUGGAUCACAUGGAUCUCUUAAAUACCAAGUCUUUCCUUAGACAGAAUAUCCCUUCUAUAGUAAUUUAAUAGCACAAUUAAAUACUACUAUUAUACCCUCAAAUAUUGAAAGAAAAAUAGGACAAGAAAGAACACAAGAGUUUUAACGAGGUUCGGUAAAUUAUACCUACGUCCUCGGGCACUAACACCAGAUGAUAACUUUACUAUCUUCAAAGUAUUACAAACAAAUAGAAUUCCUUAAGAAUUCUCAAAUGAGAGAAGAGAGAAAACUAAGAGAGAAAGAUUGGUUGGGAUGAAUUGAAAUGAGAAAUGAGAAGGCCUAUUUAUAGUUGAGGUUUAAGGACCAAACAAUAAAUAGCCCAUUAUCUCAAGGACCAAAAAAAAUUAUCCCAUGCCACUUUUUCAAAGUCAACUUUAGGGUGCUAAACUUGCACCACUUUGUAUUGUUUGCCAUUAAUGUUGUCUCCCAUUAAUGUUAACAAUCUCCACUUUGAAGAUUUGAUUAGGAUAAUCACAUCUUCACACACUUCCUUCAACUCCCCAAAUUCGAUAAAGCUAUCUUUUGUAGUGCCUACAAAUGCACUCUCGAGCGCCAUACACCUGAAGGUGCUCAAAUUCUCAGGAUGUUAAUCAAGUUCAAACAAUGAUUAAACUUGAUUGUUGUUACCACCUUGGUCAUCAUAUCUGCGGGAUUAUCUGCUGUCGAAAUCUUCUGAAGUAGAAUUUUUCCUUUUUCAAAGACUUCCCGCACAAAGUGAUAUCUUACGUCGAUAUGCUUGGUUCUUGAAUGAUAGACUUGAUUUUUCGCUAAAUGAAUAGCGCUCUGACUGUCACAAUAUAAACUUAUGUGACUUUGAACAACUCCUAAGUCUUUCAACAAUCCAUUAAGCCAAAUAGCCUCCUUAACAGCUUCUGUAACUGCCAUAUAUUCUGCCUCUGUAGUAGACACAGCUACUGUAGACUGUAAGGUAGACUUCCAACUUACUAGGGCUUUCGCAAGAGUAAACAGAUACCCCGUAGUUGAACGACGUUUAUCUAAAUCACCAGCAAAGUCGGAAUCAACAUAUCCAACUACAAACUGACCAAGUGCUUCAUCCUGCUCAAAAAUUAAACCAACAUCUACGAUUUUUCGAAGAUACCGUAGAAUCCAUUUCACAGCUUGCCAAUGUCCUUUUCCAGGAUCAUGCAUAUACCUGCUCACAACUCCAACAGCUUGUGAAAUGUCAGGCCUCGUACACACCAUCGCAUACAUCAAACUCCCAACUGCAUUAGCAUAUGGGACUUUCGCCAUAUAUUCUCUUUCAUCUUCAGUCUUCGGAGAUAAUUGAGCACUAAGUUUCAAAUGAGAAGCAAGUGGGGUACUUACAUGUUUUGUGUUUUCAUUUACACCAAAACAUUGUAAUACCUUUUUCAGAUAUUGCUUCUGAUUUAAACAGAGCUUGCCUCUCGGUCAAUCUCUACUUAUCUCCAUGCCGAGAAUCUUCUUGGCCUCACCUAGAUCUUUCAUCUCGAACUCUUGAUUCAACUGAGCCUUCAGCUUAUCUAUCUCUUUUUGGCUCUUCGAAGCGAUUAACAUAUCAUCAACAUACAAGAGUAGAUAAAUGAAAGAUCCGUCAUGCAGCUUCUGCAAAUACACACAAUUGUCAUAUUUGCUUCUUGUGUACUUCUGCCUUCUCAUAAAGCUAUCAAAUCGCUUGUACCACUGCCUCGGGGAUUACUUCAAUCCAUAUAGCGAUUUGUUUAGCUUACAAACCCAAUUUCUACCACUAGCAUCUGUGUAUCCUUCGGGCUGAGUCAUAUAGACCUCCUCUUCUAACUCACUAUGCAAGAAAGCCGUCUUAACAUCAAGUUGAUCUAGUUCCAAAUUCAACUGUGCUACCAAGGCCAACAAAAUUCUAAUGGAGGAAUGCUUCACAACAGGGGAAAAUACAUCAUUGUAGUCAAUUCCCUCCUUCUGAGCGUAGCCUUUAGCUACCAAUCUUGCUUUGUAGCGAAUAUCCUUCUUGCUAGGAGAUCCAUCUUUCUUUGCGAAUACCCACUUGCAUCCGAUUGCCCUUUUACCUUUCGGUAAUUGCGCCAAUUCCCAAGUAUUGUUCUUCAGGAGAGACUGCAUUUCUUCAUCCAUGGCGCUUUUCCAUUUAUCACUUUCUAAGCUUUGCAUUGCUUCUUGAUAAGUGAUAGGAAUAUCAUCAUCAACGGGAAGGGCGUAGGCCACCAUAUCAGUAAAUCGAACAGGUUUACGAAUUUCUCUUCGUGGCCUUGCAAUUGCAACUGGUUCUGGUGUACUUAGUGGUUCUUGGGUCAGAACCUCUUCAACCUUUAAUUCCUCCAUUGUGGCUGGAGAAUUAGACUUAUUAACUGGGCAAAUCCCCAUCUGCUCAAACUCCACCUGUUUUGGAGUACACUCCACCUGCUGUGGAGUAUUGCUCGUCUGAAUAUCUUUAUCUGCUACCUUUUUCAAUGUGGCAGAUUCAUCAAAGGUAACAUCUCUGCUACAGAUCAUUUUCUUUGUGCUUAAGCACCAAAGACGAAAUCCCUUCACUCCAGAAGUGAUUCCCAUAAAGAGAGCUUUCUUUGCCCUCGGAUCUAACUUUGACACCUUCACAUGGUAAUAUGCAGUGGUUCCAAACACAUGUAAGGAAUCAUAAUCUGUAGCCGGUUUUCCAGACCAUACCUCCAUAGGAGUUUUUCUUUCUAAUGCAGAUGAUGGCAAACGAUUAACAAGAUGGCCAGCGUAUGUCACAGCCUCAGCCCAAAAUUGCUUGCCCAACCCAGCAUUGGACAACAUACAUCGAACUUUCUCCAGUAAUGUUCGAUUCAUACGCUCUGCCAAUCCAUUCUGCUGUGGUGUAUCCCUAACUGUGAAGUGUCAAACAAUACCAUACUCUUGGCACACAUCGAAGAACGGAUCACUUUUAUAUUCCCCUCCAUUGUCCGUCCUAAGCCGCUUGAUUUUCUUGCCAGUCUGGUUUCCGAUCAUAGUUUUCCAUUUAAGAAAAACUCUAAGCACUUCAUCCUUAGUUCUCAUGGUAUACACCCAAACUCUUCUGGAAAAGUCAUCAACAAAAGUAACAAAGUAAUGUUUUCCUCCCAAUGAAGGUGUCUUGGAAGGCCCCCACACAUCUGAGUGAACAUAUUCCAAAAUACCUUUUGUAUUAUGGAUAGCAGUACCGAAUUUCACUCUCUUUUGCUUUCCCAGAACACAAUGCUCGCAAAAUUUUAAUUUGCAAGCCUUUGCACCUUUCAACAAUCCUUGCUUUGCUAGAAUUUGCAAGGAUUUUUCGCUGGCAUGUCCCAACUUCAUAUGCCACAACUGUAUUGAGUCCAAUUCUUUGUUGCCGGAAGCUGCAGCGACUGCUCCAAUAACUGUACUACCUUGGUAGUAAUACAAGUUAUUUUUCCUGAUGCCCUUCAAUAUCACAAGUACGCCAGAUGUCACUUUCAAAACCCCAUCUCUCAUAGUAACAACUGAACCAUUGGAUUCCAAGGCUCCCAAUGAGAUGAGAUUUUUUUUCAAACUGGACACGUACCGAACAUCAGUCAGAACUCUGGUUGAUCCAUCUUUAUUCUUUAAUUGGAUUGAAACUUUAGGGUGCUAAACUUGCACCACUUUGUAUUGUUUGCCAUUAAUGUUGUCUCCCAUUAAUGUUAACACAUGAUAUCUAUUUUGAUGAUAUUACAUGCUUUCUUUUGAUUCAAGAAAGACAAUCAAUGACUUGAAAUUGAAUCAUGAUUUUAAAGGACUUGGGUUUAUAUAAGAUUACAUAGGCGAUAAUUCAAUUUCCUUUUCCUUGUUGGAAAAUUCCCAUUUUGACUUUAUCUUUGAUUUUUAAGUUGUUGUUUUCUUAUUGUUAAUUAUUUUAAAAAAUAAUCCCAUUUUAACUUGCAAACUUAAAUCUUAAACUAUUAUCUUUAUGUUUAAUUUCUAAUGAUAAUUAACAAAAAUAUUUGGUUUUAAAAUUUUAAUACAAUCAAUGAAAUACAAUUCACAUAUAUGAAUGAUGAAAUUUGACGUGAUUAAAUAAAUAUUAAAUUUUGUUACAUUUUUAAUAAUGAAUAUAGGUAAAAUGGUACUAAACAUGAAAUUUGACGUGAUUAAGCAUUUUAAUGUCAUUUAAAACGUGUCAAAUAAAUAUUAGAUUAGAUAUUCAAUAUUAAUAAUAAGUAUAUAUUAAUUGAAUUAGACAUUAUAAUUAGUCAUAACUAUCGAAAUUCAAAAUUGUAAAAAUUAAGAUAUAUUGAAUUAAAUAACUACCAUACAUAAUCUUAUUCUAAUAAUAAUAAUGAAAAAACAAGAGUGUUUAAGAUAAUUUCAUUGUUUUUGCUUAUUCUAUGAUCCAACUAUGGUAGGUAAGCGUGAUGUAGGCUCAUCGUACUCCCAUCCAGUGGCUUUAAUUUGCUCUAAUGGAAUAAAAAAUGAAUCAAUCCUUUUAACUUCUUCUUCUUCCUCUUCAUCAUCGAAAAUCGACUUUAUUUCCAAAAAAAGUUUUGGGUCGAUUUUGGAGCUCCAAUCAAUAUUAUCGAUAUACAUAUCUGUUGCAUUACUUGGCAACUUAUUUGUGCAAGGAAAACGAUGAUAAUAUUCCCAGAAUCUCUGUUGGCUUCUUGGAAAGCUUUUAAACCAGCUGAAUCAUCCCAAUCGAAUACUUUAUCUAUUUUGAACAAAUUAUUCUUUGAUUCAACAAAUCUUUUCCAUGGCAUUGCACCCACUUUUAUGCAGAAUUUUUUUUUUCCUAUGCAGGUAAUGGUUCCUAAGACUUAUCGCUAUCAUUCACUUUGGAACGAGUAAAUUUCAAACUGUAGUACCUUUCUGGGCGAUUAUGAUAUCUUCUUCGAUAGUAGGACAUGAUUUCUUGUAAUCCAAACAAAUAAAUGAAAUGAAAUCACUAAUGUAUGAAUUCAUAGUGAAGAGACUUGUUGGGUUUAUAUAAUAUUAUUAGAGUCGGUGGUGACUCAAUCCUUUUCCUUGUUGGAAAAUGAAUUCUAAUUUCAGUUUGACUAUGAUUUCUAUUUUCUAAAUAUUUGUAUAAUAAAAUUGUACAAUCCCAAAUUUGCCCGGGCCCAAAACCACAAAUUACAAGCCCAAAUUUUCCCGGGGCCCAUUAACCCAAAAUACCCCAGCCUAACAAGCUAAAAUUAAACCCAAAAACAACAUACCCAAAUUAACCCACUUAGACUAAACCCAAACCCGAAUGGCCCAAUUACAACACCCAAAGCCCCAAACAGAACCAGGCCCAAAUAACCAACAAACCCAAUCAGCCCAAAUCCUAAAAAAAAACCUAAUCCCCCUAACCCUAGCGUAGUGCCGCACGUCCCCUCACCCACUUGCUCCAUCAACGUCAACUACCUGCAACAAAGAAGAAAACACGCAAGCAGCAAUAGCAGAGAAAAAUAGAAGCAAAAUCGGCUAUAAAGAGGCCAAAUAUCAUCUUUGUACUUAUUCCUUCCGAUUUUUGUAAAAAAAAAACACAUUAGCAGAAAGAAAUAAAAAAAAUUCAAGGUUAUUUUUUCUAUCAGAUUCGCAUUUCCUUUUUAUUUUUAUUUUCUUUAUUUUGUGUAUUAAAUAAAAAACAAAAAGGAGAAGGAAAGGGGCUCAUUGGGGACGGCCAUCGCUGCGCCGUCAGAGGGCUUCUCCUCUGUCGUCGACUCGGGUCCAAGAGGGGUUGAGAGUUCCCCUCUUUUUUGUUGUUUCCGUGGGUUGAGAGAUCUAGGAUCUCAAGGACGCCACACGAGGGCUGAAAAAUCCAUUUCUUUCGCCGUCGGCCUUUGGCCACGAUGGCGGCGCGUCGGAAGCCUGAGAGGCCCUAAUGGCCGAAGAAGGAAAUAUUUUUUUGAGAGAGCUUGACUCUCUGUUAUCUGUUCUUUUUUAAAAUAAAGGAUGAAUUAUUUUUUUUGUGUGUUUUUUAUAUAUUUAUUUGGGGCAUAAUACGGCACCGUUUUGAGCCUUGGCAUCAGUGGCCAAAACAGUGCCGUUUUGGCACGACCCGCGUCUGACCCGAUCGGCAAGCCUAGGAUCCGCGUGUUUCUGGAUAAAGGGGUUAUUUAUGCCUCUAGUCCUUUCGCUUUUGAGGUUGUUUGCAAUCGGGUCCUUUCCCUUUUUAUCUUUUUUAAUUUCGCCACAAAAUUUCAUGUUUCUCUCGAUUUGGUCCUCAAUGAAACUGUGCGUUUCGGAAGAGAAGAGAAAAUUGCCUUAUCGAUCCCUCGUCCUUCCAGCGCUCCUUAUUUCUGUCCCGGGCCAUAUUUUUAUUUAUUUACACAUUUAAACCCCGAAGUUUGUUUUAAGUUUUAAUUUAGUCCUUUUGUAUUCUGUUUAUUUUCUUAUUAAAAGUAAUAAAUUUGAUAUUAUACUAUUAUUAUUUAAUUAUUGUUGUUGUUAUUUGUUCAUUUAUGUCUUUAAAAUUUCAAAUUUUAUCAUAUAUAUAUAUGCAUAUACUUAUAUACUUAUAUUUUAUAAUUUAUAUCUAUAUAUCUAUAUGCAUAUUUUUAUUCCCGUAAACAUAUACGCAUACCUAUAUGUUUUUAUAUUUUCAUAUAAUUUAUACACACAUACAUAUUCCUGAAUAUACAUACUUAUGUUUUUUAUGAUUUAUAUGUAUAUAUAUACACACCUAGAUAUGCAUAUUUUUUUUUAUAUAUAUGUACAUACAUUCACAUAUUUUAUAAUUUAUAAUAUAAGUACAUAGAUAUACAUACAUAAAUAUUGUUAUCGAUUGUUUUAUUUUAUAUUUAUUUACUUGUUCAUCAUUAUUUUUCUGAAAUGCAUUAGUUCUUUUUAUUUACUCAUUAUUUUAUGUAUAAUUGUUUUUUAUGUGCUCAUUUUAGUUCUGCUUGUAUUAUUUUACUUACAUUAUUAUUGUUAUUCCAUGACGCUCAUUUUUAUUUAGAUUUCAAAAAAAAAAAUUUAAAAAUAUAAGUAAUAUUCGGUAUUUUAGAUCUUCGAGAGAAUCGAGCCCUAAUAUAUUGGAUUAUGACUUUCUUCGUUGAAUUUAAAUAAUCGAGAUUACUCUUUUAAAAAUGAUAAAAAGUUCGUUAUCGAGAAUUUAAUACGUUGUGUCCUAAUGCAUUGGAUGUGACACAUUAUUUUCUCGAGAUGAGGAUUUUUCAAAAUAAAUGCAAUAUUCAAUGUUUAAUAUUUUGAGAAAUUGUGUCCUAACGUAUUGGGUUGCGAUUAUUUCAUUCGAUUUAAACAAUUGAAUAUUCUUUUAAACUUUAUUACACGAAUCUUUUCAAACUCAAGUUUUAAACGAUAUCGGGAAUUAAAAAAAGAUCGUGUUCUAAUUUAUUGGUCGUGAUUCAUUUUUAAUCCAAGAUGGUUAAAUACCUUUUAAAUAAACAUUUUUUCAUUCGCGUAUCGAAAAUUUGAGACAUUGUGUCCUAAUUUACUGGAUAUGAUUCUUUUUCUCGAUUAACGUGAAAUAUGUCUCAUUUUCUCGAAAAUUUUUAACAUUUUAAUACAAGGAUCGUAUUUUUAAAAUUCUUCAAAGUUUUUAAUUUUCGAUAUUAAGACAUUAACUAAUCAACUAAGUACCAAUUUUGGGUGUUAUGACUUUCUCGUACGUAGUUGACUCCCGAACCCGUUUUUCUGAAUUUCGUGGACUAAACUCAUUGUUUUAAUAAGAUUAAAUUGUUUAUUAAAAACAACUAUUUUCACAAUGUGACCCGAUCGCACCUCAUCAAAAAGGAUUGGUGGCGACUUUCAUUUUCGUUUUUUUUUAAAACCCAAGUUGACCCCGUUUUCAUCAAAAAAUAGUGUCUACAAAAAUUAUUAAAAAAUCACUAUAUCAGUAUUGAUUCGUUUCCCUCUGAUUGAUACGUGACAUCCCUAGCUUCUCUAGAAUCCUCAUUGACUAUAUGAUCUCUUCACCCAUUGGUGUUCCCCCAAGAAUGUUUUUUCUCGUUUUCUCCUCCUAAUUCAUAUCUACGAUUAUCACCUCCUAGCUUACCGUUGUCAACUUUCUUCCAGUACACCACUUUUCCCUUAAAGCGAGCUAAGUUCACAUUUACUUUACUUCCAUAUAUACAGAACCCAUUAAGUUUACUAAUUGCCCUCUUAUCUUCCACAAUGCUUGCAAAUCUUACUAAACCAAAACGUAGACCUUUUCGAUCCCUCUUGUUAGGAAUAAACGCGUCCAACACUUUGCCAUGGAACUCAGAGAUUUUCCAUAGUCCCUUCCAAUGAAAACAAGAAGGAAGAUUAGAAACAUAAACUGAAAUCACCAUUUUCUCUAAGGAUUUAGCCCAGUAAUAGUUAACAAUAACUCCACGGCAUCUGAUUAAAAGCACAAGUUAAUUGAAUUACCAAGAAUAAUGUUCUUCAAUACUAUUCCAAAUUCAAUUUUGGAACUUCUGCUAUCAUAGCUUUCCACUGUUUGAAACUUUGUUGGCAUUAUUCAAUCGCACAUAACUAACAUUUUCUGUAGCAACUUUGUCAUGGUAGAGCUAUCAUCGACAAGCCUAAAGAAAUAGUAUACAAUAAAUUCAAGAGAACUACACACUUCUAUAUUAUUUCUCAGAGAUUCCCUAAUUUACAUUUAUCUGGAGUUCAUUCGAAAUAACUCAAAUAUCUUCUACUGUCAAUAAAAGGUUUAGAAAACUUAUUUCUUGAAAUUAAAAAUCACAUUUAUUGAUCUUCACAAAUAAUUAUUUCUCUCGUACUAUCUCUAACACUGUUUUUCCAAUACUAAUCGUAAUAUCUUGUAAUAUCUUCACAUGAAUUGAGUAUCUUUAAUUAUAUAGCAACAACUCUGAUAAGAUACAGCUAGAAACUUUUGUCUAUUAAAUAUAUAAAGUGACUAUGCAAUUGAUAAUCAUAUACAACAAUCAACAUUUGACUAAACUUUGCAACCUAUACAAGUUUUUUUGGGAUUUCAACAAAAUAUAAACAAGAAUCCCGAAAAGAUACUUAAAACAUUUACUCAUCCAUGGAACCUGACUGAAAAAAUUUGGGUUGUCGUCUAGCUCAUAAUCAUAUACAAGGUCAAUACCAAAUUCUAGCACAGAUAAAUCUGAAAGAACCCGAAGACUAAUAUGAUCACCAGCUUCUAAUUCAUCACCCCUAAAGUUCCAACAAGUCGUCCAGUAUAAGGUAUUCUUAGUUUCAGGGAUUCCCAUGAAAUGUUUGGAGUAGGUCCACUUUGUACCUUUGGUGUCGUUCACAAUUUCAAGGCAUGGUAAAAAUCCAUAAGUUCUAUCAUUCUUGGCAGAAAAAAUGAUAAUCGAAUUUAAGAAGCAACUUAUCUUUCGACUAGAGUUUGGGGGCACUGAUAUUGAAACCUCAGUCUUGCCAGCUUGAUGGCCAUAGUAAUGACCAUUGUAAUCAAAUGGCAAUGGAUCAAAUGUUGUAGUUAUACCGUAAUCAUAUAAUACCUGUAGCAUUGGAUUAGAGAAUGAGUUAUUAAAAAGUAUAUGGUAUAUAAAUAAUUUUAAAAACUUGGAACUUGUAAAGGUAACCUGUGGUGAAGCAACUACUUUUGAUUCUUCUAUAUAACUGCAAAGUUGCACUUUAACAUAUCCAUAGGAUUCCAAACUAGGCAAGUGUUUAGUUAGGUCCAUCGUGAUAUUUCUUGUGGAAACUUCAUCUCCUAAAAUAUGUACAAUAAUGUGUUAUUUAUCAAUUUUGGUGAUCAUCAACAUUAUAUGCUUAUUAGAAAGUAAGAGUAUUGACUUGAAUGGAGUGAUAAUUAAAGCUUUUAUCAGACACUCAUUUGACACGAAUUCAAAUCGCGACCCAUCCUCUAUCCUCAAUAUUGUAUGAAAAAAAGAUAUCAAAGUAAUAAUGUUAUUAUCACUAAAAUGUAUUAUAAGACUUGUAAGAAAUAAUCAAUUAUACACAUUAUAUCUUUAUUUUUCAUUAUUAUAUAAAAUAUAAACUUUAAAACUAUUAAAUAUGUUAAUCAAAACACCACUUUUAUAAUUUUAUCCAUUAUUUUAGUUUCCACUUCUAUUAGAACUAUUGGAUUAAUCAAUUAUCAAACAAUUAACUUAUUUGCAUUAGACCCCAAUUGCUGCAUAACUUUAUAAUUAUCACUUUAUAAUUUAGCUAAAUUUCUCUCAUAAUCUAUUAAAUUGUCACAUUUCUUGAUAAUUAUUUUAUUGUAUUAGAAAGUCUUUUAGAGAAACAUUCAUCAUUUCUUGAACAUUUGUUAUUCACGUAUAAAAUGAAACAAUAAAAUAAAUAUAGUAGGAUGUAUUUACUAAAAUAUAAUUAUUUGAACUCUACUCAUACCUGUAGAUAAGUGCGAAAAGCCAUAUUCAUAUCCAAUGUUGUGUUCUGAUUCAUAAGUAACGCCAAAUUUUCUUAUGCUGAGAUGAAUAGGCACUACCAUGCAACUCACAAGGUCACCACCUUCAAACUGACAGUCCGUUACUGGCCAAUGAAUCAACCACAACAUUGUGUUAUCGUUAGUCUCAGGAAUUCCAAUGAAACUUGAGCGAUAUCUCUGCAUGAUCCUUUUGGUCUCAUUGAAAAUGUGAACACUUGGUAGAAGCUCCAACAUUUGAUCACUAGCUAAAGAGAAAACAAUGCAUAAGCUGAACCGAUGGAUCUUUUCAUCUGGAUUAGAUGGUGUUGGCAAAAAAAAAGAGAUUCGAUGCUCGUUAGUGCCAUGCUUAAACCCAAUCGGAACUUCACUUCCUACAACAAAUGUGCUUGUUAUACCAUAUUCUUGCAAGACCUGAUCCAAAAAGAACAAGUUAGAUGAUUAAGUAGUAUAAGAGAAAAAAUAGAUUUAAAAUUUAAGUUGGAGAACUAUUGGACCUGUGGGGUAGCUAGCAUUAUGCUGUCUGUUAGGUAGCUAUAAAGUUGCAGUCGAUUUCUGUUAAUGGAAUCUACGUUGAAUAAUCUUCUAAUCUCUUCUGCUUCAAAGUUUUCAAUUGGUUCCAACUUGAAUAGAUCUUCAACCUCAGUCAAUUUUUCACAUCCAAAAAUAUCACAUCGUGUGGAAGAAAAGUAGCAUGGAAGAAUUACCCUAUAUCCUUGAAAUGAAGAAUUGUCUCCAAAAAUAAAGUUGCACUCAAAAACAUUGAGCAAGACCGGAAGCUUUGGAAUCAUUUGGAGUUCAGUGCAAGAAGUCAAUAGAAGUUCUUCAAGUUUUGUAAGGUUUUUUAAGCUCUCGGGUAAGUAAUGAAUUGGGUUUCUACUUAAAUUUAAGGAUUUCAAGGAAGCCAAGUUACAAAGAUCAUUGGGCAUGACAUCAUUAGAUAAUUUGCAACUUUCAAGGCUUAACUUUACCAAAGAGCCCGGUAGAGAUGCCCAAGAGAAACCCAAUCCUUUGCUUCUUUUCAGUAAGAGCCAAUACAACCCCAAUCUUGAUUGAUAUAUGGCAGUUUCAUCUAAAUUAAGCACCUUCAAUGAUUCCAUAUUAUGCAACUCCCUAGGAACAUCAUCAAGUCUUGAACAACCAGAUAAGAAAAGAUCUUCAAGUGAUAUUAAUGAACCAAUUGUCCUUGGAAGAUGCCUAAGACUAGUGCAAUCUUUAAGGUUCAAGAAAGUAAGCAUCUUUAGCUCACCAAUGGAUUGAUCAACUUCCACCAAAUUUAUGCAAUCUUUUAGCAUCAACUUCUCAAGGCUAGGGAGUCCUGAAAAGGUUGGGGUUUUAAGAAGACUAUGUGAAUGGUUGAGAUUAAGGAUCUUUAAAUUUGGGAGACACUGCAAAAAAAGAAAAACCCUUCUUUUAUAAAUGUAUUAUUGUUUCACACACACUCAAAGAAGAAGGAAAAGUAGUAUAUAUCAUACCUGUCUAUUCUUCCAAACUUGUUUAAGUUUACUGUUGCGCAUGUCGAGAACAACUAGUUCAUUGAUAUCAAAAUCCACCGGAAAAGAUUGCAUACAAAACCCAUGCCAACGUAACCAUCUUAAUCUUUUGGGAAAGUCUUUGAAGUCUCCUUUAAAUUUUACAUUAUCCAGUUGAAGCAGUUUAAGUCUCUUCAUCUUCGCAAAUGCUUGAGUUUCCAUAUCAACAUCAUUUGACAUGAGAAACUGACUUUUGGAAUGCUUUGGAAAAUGUAGAGUUG